rnacentral:lncRNA from 1 species
AACCACACAUGCAUUAUUCAAAAAUCAAUGUAAAUUACUGCAGGAAAAUCUGUAAUCCAUAACCUCCUCUAAACCUUCAAGAGCCAGUGACACAUAACGCACUUCCCAGUAAGCAGCUCCUUGGUACUACAUACACCUAAGCCCAUGUACACUUUCCUAGCCAGUCCCCACUUUACAAUAAUUUGAGAGUACAUGAGGAAAACUCUCACCUCCCAUCCAACCCCUGCACCCUACAAAUUUCCUCUGCACAUCAACAAUGCAUGUCGAACGCUUCAAUUGAUUCAAUCAGUUCUUGCUCCAUGAAGAUCACUAUCCAAAAAUGCAUACUUAUCUACUCGUCUGAGCUACUAAAAUCUCCGCAUCCAACCUCUGCUCCUCUCACCAUCCUCCACCACUUCUCCCAACCGCAACCACCACCACACCAAUCUCCAGACUCNNNNNNNNNNNNNNNNNNNNNNNNNNNNNNNNNNNNNNNNNNNNNNNNNNNNNNNNNNNNNNNNNNNNNNNNNNNNNNNNNNNNNNNNNNNNNNNNNNNNNNNNNNNNNNNNNNNNNNNNNNNNNNNNNNNNNNNNNNNNNNNNNNNNNNNNNNNNNNNNNNNNNNNNNNNNNNNNNNNNNNNNNNNNNNNNNNNNNNNNNNNNNNNNNNNNNNNNNNNNNNNNNNNNNNNNNNNNNNNNNNNNNNNNNNNNNNNNNNNNNNNNNNNNNNNNNNNNNNNNNNNNNNNNNNNNNNNNNNNNNNNNNNNNNNNNNNNNNNNNNNNNNNNNNNNNNNNNNNNNNNNNNNNNNNNNNNNNNNNNNNNNNNNNNNNNNNNNNNNNNNNNNNNNNNNNNNNNNNNNNNNNNNNNNNNNNNNNNNNNNNNNNNNNNNNNNNNNNNNNNNNNNNNNNNNNNNNNNNNNNNNNNNNNNNNNNNNNNNNNNNNNNNNNNNNNNNNNNNNNNNNNNNNNNNNNNNNNNNNNNNNNNNNNNNNNNNNNNNNNNNNNNNNNNNNNNNNNNNNNNNNNNNNNNNNNNNNNNNNNNNNNNNNNNNNNNNNNNNNNNNNNNNNNNNNNNNNNNNNNNNNNNNNNNNNNNNNNNNNNNNNNNNNNNNNNNNNNNNNNNNNNNNNNNNNNNNNNNNNNNNNNNNNNNNNNNNNNNNNNNNNNNNNNNNNNNNNNNNNNNNNNNNNNNNNNNNNNNNNNNNNNNNNNNNNNNNNNNNNNNNNNNNNNNNNNNNNNNNNNNNNNNNNNNNNNNNNNNNNNNNNNNNNNNNNNNNNNNNNNNNNNNNNNNNNNNNNNNNNNNNNNNNNNNNNNNNNNNNNNNNNNNNNNNNNNNNNNNNNNNNNNNNNNNNNNNNNNNNNNNNNNNNNNNNNNNNNNNNNNNNNNNNNNNNNNNNNNNNNNNNNNNNNNNNNNNNNNNNNNNNNNNNNNNNNNNNNNNNNNNNNNNNNNNNNNNNNNNNNNNNNNNNNNNNNNNNNNNNNNNNNNNNNNNCGAGGCACUCUUUCCACCCGGAGUCUCCGAUCAGCAACAGCUUGAAAAGGUAAUCACUGCCAAAAACCACCACCCACGUCCAUCAGUCACGACUCAUCAUGCUCCUCAUCCUGUGGGCCAAAUUCUGCUCGUUUGUCACCAUCAAUUCAUAUCUGCAUACACCACCAUAACCCAUCCCAACCACCUCCUGCACCUUUCUUGAUCAGACCCACCACGCUUUACCAAGUUUGAACCCCACACCGAACAUGCCCGGACACAAUUCACCCAAACCCUCAAAACCACGCUACACUACCCAUCCACCGCUGCCCGGCGCAACAUUUGGCACGCGUAUUCACACACUCCACGACAUAAACCCUAAAACGACAAGAUCACUCCGCACACCCUCCCGAAGAUUUGCUCUUAUCGUGCGCGAUAGUCAAGCGACCAUCAAACUACCACCUUGUGCAGACCACGUCCCAAAUACACACACAGUGCCCAGCAACUUCAACAAUCAAAAGCUUCGUCCAACUCAACAAGUCUAACGUCCAGUACGCCACUGACCAUUCCACUCCGACAUCCAACAACAUCUCGCAGGUCUUCCACCGAUGGCGAAGGGGUUGAGCAACCGACAAUGUUCCAGCGACACGCACUUUACCAUCCAUGGUUGUACAAUCCCAUCACCCUUUCACAGCGAAAACCACUCCACAGGUCGUUCGAUACUCUCUACCAACCCACCGAAGCCUUAAUUGUCAUGCUUUGCACGCCAUAACAUGCCCCUCAUAAGGACUCCGAAAACAAAAUCACGCUUCGACACAGACAAAUCGUCAAAAGCACUCAGCUACAUAUACGUUGCAAACAAACUAAUUGAGACUUUCAAAAGUCAAAAUCACAAAAAAAAGAAGAAAAGUCGGGGUUCUCAAGACUCUGAUAAAGCUUCGCUUCUGACACCAAGACCACCAUCUUCUAACCACGCAUGCAUCUGAAGCUACUCUGUCCACUCACACAUGUACCAUAACACACCCACACUCCCCGUUUCCACAAUGUCAUGCCACCACCCCAAUCCCCACCAGCUCUACCAUCGAACUUUCUCACAAUCUACAUUCAGACCACCCACACAACCUCAAUGAUCCAUCCAUUCCACUACCAGUACUUCAAACACACACACACACACACACACACACCUUCCCAACCCCCACUUUCCAUGCUCCACACACACCAUCACGAUCAACUCAUCGACAUCUCCACAAAUGCCACACAAACAUCCCAAAGGUCCUCCAUAACCACACAUCCCCGAACUAACCCAACACAACCCUCUCUACACCACCACCACCACAAGAACUGCACUACCAACACCAACACCAACACAACUUCUCACCAAAUACCCAAAACACACACACACACACACACACACAAACACUCACUAUUCGGGAUUCAUGGUGCCUUUCUUUCGGAUCGGCCUUCUGGGCUAUCUCCCUGCCUUCAACCAAACUUCUGCCACUCCCCGAUCUGCACCCCACUUCAGCAAGGAACACAACGCCGAUCCGAGAUCACGACCGACACAAAAACUGACCCCAGAACGACAAAGACGCAAAGGAAGACGAGGCCACAGACAGGAAAGUGUUGAAAGGGGAAGGGUCGUUGUGAAGGGGUCGUGGCUCUAGCUCAGGCUAUGGCGUCAAGCUUGUGGUUCUAGUGGCAUCAAGCUUAUGGUUCUGGUGGCUGUGGCAAACUCCCUGCUCCCUUUCCACUCUUUGAGGCCACACAUCAUUCUCCAACUAACAGGCCCCUUGUAUCUUCGCUUCCAAAAGAUUUCUGUGUCGUUCUAUAAUAUGUAAUACAAGUGGUAGAUUUUCCUAGUCCGUGACUUGCAGCGUGGACUCCAGCGCGGGAAUCCACGUCAGUUUUGUGUCGAGUUGGAUCUGACGUGGACUCUGUAUUUUUGAGUGUUACUGAAUGCAGGGGUGAUUCCUUUGGAUUCACUGUGCGGAAUCUACGUGGAAUCCUGAUUGGUUUCUAUUUAAUUGCUAGGUUUUUUUGUCUUUUGUCUUGUGGGUUUUCUAUCUUUGAACAUUUUUUUUUAAUGCGUGUGUGAAUUCAUUCUUCAGGAGUGGUUGGUGAUGCAGUUUUUUUUUUUUUUUUUUUUUUUCACUUUGCUUCAUGGACCCAUUUGUAUGCUUUCUUUGCAUCGUAGAUUACAUCAGUACGACACAAUUGUGUUUGGGUGAAGAUCACUUUUUUUUUAUAUUUAUAUAUAUUUAUAUAUUCAAAUUGAAAAUGGAAUAGCAUGCAUACAGGUUAGAAAACUUCUUCUUCUUCUUCCCCUUUUAAUUUAAUUUAAUUUUGUUUUUUUCUUUUCUUUUCUAUAUUUCAACCUUUGGAAUUGCGUAGACAGCACUAACAAAUUGCCAAGUACUGCCUUGAGAUCUACACAAAAUUAAGGACAAGUAUCAAAGGGUGUUUCAACUCCCAAGGACUAUUCUAAACUUAAAUGGGGUGUCUUGGGACCAUGAAACAUGUACUCCACACAUUGUCUCAUUCCUUAAAAGAUAAGUUAUGGUGACACCAUCCAUAGAAGUUUUGGAUGUGUUUACUGGUGUUUUUAAGAAGUUUUAAGAAUAUACUAAGAAUUUUAUGUUGUAUACAGAAUUUUACAUGUUUCAAGUGAUUCAAUUUAUUUAUUUAUUUUUAAAUCUGUAAUUGUGAAGAUGUUUUUAGAUCUUGAAAGUUUCACAAAAUAUUCAAAUAUUAAAACUACAAGAUCAUAUAAAAUAGCUCAGAAUAAGUAUUAUCAUUUUUAUUGUUUUUAUUUUUGCUUAACAAUUUGAGUCUUUUAAUUUGAUUUUAAAAAAUAUAUAUUAUUAUAACCAUUUAUUAAUUUUGUAUAUGGAUUAUUAAAAAGCUUAAGAAUUUUUUAUUUCAACUUUAAGUAAAUUGUAGCUUUAAAUCUCAAAUAACAUUUAUUAACAAUAAUCAUGAUAAGUAUCAUUUAUUUUGAAAUUAUUUUAUAUUAAUUUGGUGAUUUUCUUUGCUAAAAAAUAAUCCUUCAAUAUCUUUUCUAUAGACUUUAUAUUUUCUGAAUAUUAAAUUAUUAUAUGUGUACAUUCAUAAUUAUUAUGUAUACACACAAUCUUAUCUAAAAUUAUCAAUAAAAAAAAAUAGGUAUUUUAAAGAAAUUGUUUUUAUCUACCAUGUCAAAUAUUAAAAUAAGUUACUUUGUAGAAGAUAUUACCUUAGAUAAGUUGCUAAUAAUUAAAAGAUUGACUCUUAGUAUAUAGUAAAGACAUCCUAUGGAUAUAAGACGAGGUCAAGGGCCAAGAGUCAAAGUCAAGAGGAUAAAAUAUAAAUUUAAGAAUAUUCAAAGACUAUGUAAGAAUAAUUAGUAUUUAACAUAAGAUACCUUCUUAAUUAGUGAUAUGUCAAAAGAUUCUAAAACCAUUCAAUACUCUCAUCGUAAAUAAGAUGUCAAAGGGUCUUAGGACUAUGUUUAUAAAAAUUAAAGAGUGGAAGUUGUUUUUUAGGGCCACAACCAUCACCUAUAAGUAAUGAAUAUUAGAAGUAAAAGAUAUCUUAUUCUACACUUUCUUUGUGUAUAAUCUUAUUAAUGCUAUAUAUUAUAAUUUCAAAGUUCUUUUUUUUCAAUAAGUUAUGGGUCCACUCACCUUUAGUUUUGAAUUUUGAAGUUCUUUGAAGUCUUUUUUGUUGUAAAGAGUAGAUCUUAUAGUUAUUGCUGAUAUUAGGAUUUGGUAUCUUCUAAUGCCUUUUUUGCAUCUAAUUUUUGAUGUAGUUUUGCUCUUAUUUGUUUUUUAGUGCAUUCAUGGUCUUAGAGAUUGUUAGAUACCUUAGAAUGAUGUUUUAAAAUCCUAGUAAUGUGUUUCUUUGUUGAGUUUCAACAUUGAUAUACAAGAGAUUUAGAUAGAGUAUAAGUCUUGUGAGAAGUCUUAUAAGUGAAGUUAAGAUUUAUUAAAGAGUCAAAUCACUAGUUUACUUACAAAAAAGGUAUUUUAGGUUUCUAAGAUAGCAAUAUCUUCUUAUUGAUUUUGAAAGAUCUAUCUUUUUUUUUUUUCUUGAUUUUCUUUGAUAUACUUCUUUUUUAGACAUGGCUUUAAGAAAGGGUGAGAGCUUUAGAGUGAUUGAGAAGUUUAGAGGUGACAACUUCUACCAUUGGAAGAAAAAAAUGAACCUUUUAUUGACUUUAUAGGACCUUUGAGACACUAUUGAUGAAAGUGAAGAAUCUCUAAAGAACAAUGUUGAUAUCAUGGUAAAGAAAGAGUAAAAAUGUUGAAAAAAGAACUCUUUUGGAUUGAUUGCAAAAAAUCUUCAUGGUGCUAAUAUUUCACAUAUAAUUAUUUGCAAUGGAUGAACAAAAGCAUAGAAGUCUUUAUGCAAUAUCUAUAAAAGUAGAAAUCUUACCAAUAUUCUAUAAAUAAGGAUGAAGUUCUUAACAAUAAAGAUGGAAGAAAGAGAUGUCUUCAUAGGUCAUAUCAAUAAGAUAAAAAUACUUGCAAAUCAAUUAGAAGUUGUUGUCCUACCAAUUUUUGAUAGAGAAAUUUGCUUGACAUUAUUUAUGAACCUUUUGGAAUCCUAUAACUAAUUUAAUGUAGCAUUAGAAUCUAUCAACAUUAAGGAACUUAUCAUGAAUUAUAUCACGUCAAGACUUCCUUAUGAAAUAACCAAGAGAAAAGAAAAUGAGCUUCAAAGUAGAGAUUCAAUUCUAUUCUUAAGACAAGACAAAAGUAACUAUUUUUAUUAAUGUGAUAAUUUAAAAAGAAAUAUGAGAAAUUACUAUAUUUAUAAAAAAAUCAUGUCAAUUUAUAAGAAAUUACUAUAUUUAUAGAAAAUCAUAUCACUUUGUAAAAAAAUUCUAUAAAGUCAAGAAAAUAGAUAAGAAGAACGUAAAUAAUCUUCAUAAUAGUUUUGGUAGAAAUGACUAUGCUUUCAUAACAAGUAAAGGAGCCUCUAUGCCUACCAUGUUUAAGUGGAUUAUAGAUUUGAAUGCUAUUAAGGACAUGAUACCAUAAAAGUAUUUAUUUGAUAUUAAUGAAGCAAUUUCAACAACAAAAAUUUGGUUCAAAGACAAUGGUAUGGUGUAAAUAAUUAAAAUUGACUCCAUUAUAGUAGAGAUUGUUGUCAAGGAUAAAAUAAAGAAGAUCAUAUUAAAGAAAGUCUUACACAUGCCAAAAAUGAAGAAGAAUCUCUUUUUGGUGAGCAAACUUGUAUUAUAUGGUCAUAAGAUUUAAUUUGACAUAAAUGGCUAUUUUAUGAAGAUAUUGGAUGGACAAGAUGUUGCCAAAGACUUUAAAAAUAGUAACAUCUACUUUUUUAAUUAUAAAAAUGUCAAUGGAGUUAAAGUAGUAAUAUUUAUUGAAUUUCUUUAAGAUCAAGAUAAAUUUGAAAUUUGACAUCAAUUAUUUAGUUAUUUAAAUAUCAAAAGCAUGAAGAAUCUCUAAUCUAUAGUAAGUAGCUUGGAUCUUAGUCAAUUUAGCUACAAUGCAAUGACACUUAUUUGUGAAGGUUAUAUACAAGGUAAACAACAAAGAACUUUAUUUUUAAGUAGUGUUGCAAUACGUAUUAGCAAAUUAUUGAAGAUUUUAUAUUUUGAUAUUUAUCAACCAAUGAAGAUGCCAUCAAUUAGAGAAGUAAAUUACUUUGUCAUAUUUAUUGAUAAUGUUUUAAGAAAGAUGUAGAUUUACAUUCUUAAAAUUAAGAGUGAAUAUUUCUCCAGAUUUAAGAAUUUAAAGUACUUAUGGAAAAGCAAUAUGAAUGGAAGUUCAAAAUAUUAUACAAAGACAAUGGAAGUGAGUAUAUGUAAAAGUAUUCUAAUGAAUUUUUGAAGAUUCACGGUAUUAGAAUAGAAACCUCUUUUCUUUACAUUUUACAACAAAAUAAAGUUGCUGAAAGAUCAAAUUAUACCAUUGUAGAGAUGGUAAGGAAUAUGCUUCAUAUGCAAAAUCUUAGGCAUGAGUAUUGGACCAAAGCUAUUUUAAAUAAAAUAUAUAAAAAUAAUAGAUUUCUUAUAAGUAUAUUUACAUCAAUGAUUCUAUAAAAAGCUUAGAAUGGCAAAAAAUCUUAUGUUUUAUACAUGAUGAUUUUUAAAUGCAUUGCUUAUACAAAAAUAACCAAUUGUAUGAAGUCCAAACUUGAUACAAAAGGUACAAAAUGUGUGUUUGUUAGAUAUUGUAGAGAUAUUAAGGCAUAUAAGCUAAUGUAUUUAAAAACCAAAAUAUUCAUCAAGAAUUAUAAUGUAGAACUUUUGGAGCAUAAAAAUGCUUGUGAGCACUUGGAGAUGUAUCUAAGUGGGAGUAAUGAUGUGUUUGUGGAUACAUCUUUGAUUUUAGCAAAGAAAAAAAGAGAAGAUGAUGAAAAUGAAGAUGGUGGAAAUAUAAAUAAAAAUGAAGUGUCAGCAAAGAUAGGCCAAAGUGUGUCUAUAAUUGCUAAAAUCAAGAAUAAACACAAUCAAGAUGUUGAAGAUAUUAAUGAUGAAGAAUACCAACUUUUGAAUAUGAAGAGAUAAGUUUUAAGAAAAAAGAAGCUUAUAAGAGAUCUUGAAAUGUAUAAAAGUGAAUCUUCAUCAAGUAAAGAAAGUAUCCUAUGAAAGAAAGUAAAUAACUUGGUGAAUGAUAGAAGAAUCACAUCUUUCUUCAAGUAAGUAAAGAAUAUGCUAGUAUUGCACUUUAUAUUGAUCCAUUAGAUUUAUAUGAUGCAAUGAAGUCUAUGGAUGCUAUAAAGUGAGAGAAUGGUAUGAAAGAAGAGUGCAAAUCAUUUAUAGAUAAUGAAAUAUGGAAAUUGAUUCGACUUUUAUCAAAUUAAUUUUUGAUAACUUAUAAUUAAGUAUUUAAAACCAAAAAGGAUGCAAUGAACAAUCUUAUGAGAUACAAAGCUGGAUUGAUUGCCAAAAACUAUUCACAAGUUAAUAGUAUUAAUUUCAAUGAGAUAUUUGUUCUUGUAACUAAAUUCACCACCAUUAAAAUUAUUGUGACAAUUGGAACAAUAAUGAACUUGGAGAUGCAUCAAAUAGAUGUGAAGACAAUUUUUUUAAAUGGAAAAUUAAAAGAAGACAUCUAUAUAGAUUAACUUCAAGGAUUUGUUGAAAAAUUCAAAAAAUAUCUUAUUUAUAAGUUAAAAAAAUCUUUAUAUAUGGUUAAAUAAUCACUAAAGAUAUGGUAGUAAUGUAUUGACACAUUCUUUGUGAAUAAAAGGUUUUUUAGGAGUGAAAUUGAUUAUUCAAUGUAUGUGAUGAAAUCAAAUGAGUUUUUAUUGAUUGUCAUGCUCUAUGUUAAUGAUUUCAUCAUCUUAAUCAUUACCUAAAAGGUGAUGGUUUAAUUAAAAAUAAAGUUAAAAAAAGAGUAUGAGAUGACUGAUUUGAAAGAGCUUCACUAUCUUUUAGGAGUAGAGCUUGUAAGAGAUUAUGCUAAGAAGACUAUUACAAUGAGUCAAAGCAAGUAUAUUAAAGAGAUAUUGAAAUAAUUCAACAUAGAGGACUGUAAGCCUAUUGGAACAUAUUUAGUGGCCAAUUUGAAGUUGAUGAAAUUUACGAAUGAAAAAUUUGGUGAAGUUGAAGGUGAAGUAUAAGGUAUUCUAUACAAGGUAGCAGUAGGCUUAUUUAUGUAUAUAAUGGUUGGCACAAAGAUGGAUCUUAUAUAUAUAAUAAGUGUUAUAAGCCAACACAUGUCAAAGACUAGAUCAAUCCAUUAGACAACCAUAAAAAUGAUCAUGAGGUACUUAAAAGGUACAUUAUAUUUCAAAUUGUGCCUUGGAGGUGAUAAUAUUACUUUGCAUGGUUAUUAUUAUGCAGAUUAGGCUAAAAAUACAAAUGAUAGAAGAUCAAAAAUAGAAUAUGUAUUUUUUGUGGAAUAAGAGUUAUUUCAUGGAAUUGCAAGAGACAACUAAUAAUUACAAGGUCAACAAUAGAAGCAAAAUAUAUAACAAAAAGCUAUAGUAUAAUAGAAAUAAUAUAGCUAAGAUAAUUUUUUGAGGACAUUGGAAUAAUACAAAUAGAAGCAAAUUCAAUAAAGUCUACCAAUCAAGAAUAUCUCAUUUUUAUGAAGAAUCCAAAGUAUCAUUCAAAGAUCAAGCACAAUGAUAUUCAACAUGACUUCAUAAGAGAGAAGAUUAAAAUAUAAGUGAUUGACAUGAGAUAUUAUGCAAUAAAAGACAUAUUUGUUGAUUUAUUGACAAAAUGUCAAAGACAUGAAUCUUGAAGAAAGAAAAUUCUCAAUACAUUAUUUUAUCAAUGAAGAAAACUAAAAAGUCACUCAAGAGGUGAUGUAAUAUUUAAUCAGAAUGGCUAUUGCCAAAAAUAAGAGAACUAAAAAAUCUUAGAAUAAGACUAAGGACUUGAAAGGUGUUGACAAGAGUGAAGAAGGCUUCAUUCUUGCCUCCUUAUAUACUUAUAACUAGAAGCUAUAUGGCAAUGUGCUAUAGGACUUCUAAAAUAUGUUGACUUUGCUAACCAUAUGUCUUAAUUUGUAAAGCAAGUUUUUUAUAUAUGUGCCACAUAAUUAGCUUCUUCUAUAAGCUACUGCAUUAAAUUAAUUUGUUUUAUAAGCUACUAACAUGUGGUUAGCUUGUUGGCCAAGUUUCUAAUCUACAAAUAUAUCUAAAGUCAAAACCGCAGCUAUGAAGCUUCUAGAAAACUUUUCUAAAAGACUUUAUGAAAUUAAUUUAUAUUUAUCUACUUCUAUCUAAUCAUAUAAGAAACUAUCUAGGUAAAUGUAUAUGUCCAUGAUAUUACUUCUUCUUCUAUGGACGAGUUCCAUGAGGAGUGGUCAUCAUCUUUCAUAUAACUUUGUAAUUCUUUAUCUUGAUUUUGAUGGAUGUCGUCGAUGAAAGGCCUCAACAUUUUUUUUUGCAUUUGCAAGAUUCUUUACUGGGUGCCAUGUACGUUUGCUAAGAUCAUAUUUAUGCUAAUGAAUAAGAUAUUCUAACCUAUUUUGAUGCUAUCUUGAAUCUAAGACUUCUUUCACCUCAAAUAUCAUAUGAUUGUACAAAGUCUUUUAUCGCCUUCUACAUUUGCGGCAACCAAAAAUCUCUAGAUAUAAGCUCUAAAGUCUUAUUAUAUCCAAAAUGUCCUGUUGUUAGAAAGUCAUGACAUGCUUGAAGAACAUAUAAAUGUGCUUCUCCUUCUGGAAUAUAUAAGCAUGUUUUGAAAUAGAAAAGAUUGUUCUCGAACUCGAACUUUGAAAUAAAGUGAAACUUAAAAGGAAGGUUCUUCAAAUCGUGAACAAGAGGAUCAAAGGACAUACUUAAUUAGAUUUGCUUGAUAAAGGUUGAAUCAACAAUUAAUGUUGACUUUAUUGCUCAAAGAUGAAAAUGCUCCAACUUUAAGAAAAUUAUUCUUUGUUGAUCAAAAGAUGCAUCUCUUUCUUUUGGUGCAAGAUAAGAACAUUUCAAAAGGACAUUUAAUAGACCUUGUUGUUUUUUGGAUUGAUAAGUAAUCUUGAAAUUGAAUCUGGACAAAGACAUACUCCAACGGGCUUCAUAACAAUUCAAAACACGUGUUGACAUGAAGUACUCAAGAUUCUUAUGAUCCGUAUACAUGAUAACUAGACUUGAAGCGUCUUUUAGAUAAUAAUGCCAUUCUUAAAAUGAAUCCAUGAUUCCAAGAAGCUUUUUGUCAUGAAUCUCGUUAAUUUUGGCUACUCAAAAUUUCUUGGAAUGAAAAGCUACUAGGUAGAGUUUAUUAUAUGUUCCCAUUUGGGACAAUAUGGCACCUAUAGCAAAGUCUAACACGUCUAUUUCCAUAAAAAAUGCCUUGAAAAAAUCAACACAAUAUAAGAUUGGUACUAAAGUAAACUCUUUUUUUAAAGUAUCAAAUUAUGCUUCUGCUUCUUUAUUCCACUCAAGUUUGUCUUUACAAGUCAAAUGUGUUAGUGGAGUUGUAACUUGAAAAAAGUUCUUGAUGAAGAUUUGGUAGUAAUUAAUAAAGCCUAAAAAUCAUUGUACAUCUCAUACUAUUCUUGAAAUCUUCUUAUCUAUGAUAGUUUGGACUUUUUUGGGAUCCAUCAUAAGGCCUUUGUUAGAAAUGAUGUAUCCUAAAAAGUCAACUUGAGUAGCAUGGAAUACACACUUUUCUAACUUGAGAUAAUUUUGUAUCUCUAAGUUUUUUAACAUACAACGAACAUGAAGUUUAUAUUCUUCUGUAUUCUUACAGUAGAUUAGAAUGUCGUCUAAAUAGCAAACAAAAAAUCAUCUAAAAAUUCACAAAAAAUAUCAUUCAUAAGAUGUUGAAAAGUGGUUGAUGCAUUUAUCAAUCCAAAAGAUACGAUAUUAUAUUCAAAAUAUCCAUACCUAGUUCAAAAAGUAGUCUUGUAUUCUUCUCGUUCUUUGAUAUGAACUAAGUUAUAUGCUCUUUGUAGAUCUAUUUUCGUAUAGAUCUUUGUUUGAUUGAGUUGGUCAAGAAGUCUUGAAAUCAAAGGCAAAGGAUACCUAUUUUUGAUGGUGAUCUUAUUGAAUCUUUGAUAAUCCACACACAUCCGUAAAGAUCCAUCUUUUUUCUUUACAAAUAAGAUAGGAGCUCUAACUAGAGAUUUAGAAUGGCAUAUGAAGUUCUUUGCCAAGUUUUCAUUAAUGUAUUCUAUUAAUGUAGCCAAUCCAUUUUACAACAAGCUAAAGAUUGAUCCAAGUAGUAGUUGAGCUCCUUCUUACAGAUCAAUUGAACAAUCAUAAGAUUGAUGUUUUAGAAGAAUAUCUUCAUUCUUUUUUUUUCAAAAAUAACUUAUAAUUCUUGAUAUUGGCUAGAAAUACCACUUGAUAUUUUUCCAUUAGUAGAAAUGAAUGUAGCAUAUAUAGCAAAAGAUGAUCCUUCUUUUGCGGCAUGUCUAAAAGCUCUUGCACCUACUAGUAAAGGUUUGGAUAUACUAGACUUUAUGUACUUCUACUUUAUUAACCCAAUUUUCGAUUAUACUACGAAAAAAGUUAAGAUUAUAAGAAAUCUAAUCUAUUUUAGAGUUAUAUUUUUCUAGCCACAAUAAUCCUAGAAUAAUCAUAUUAGAGAGAGAUCUUAUUAUAUUAAAUACUACUAUGCUGUUAUGAUCUUUAAUUGUUACAUCUAAAGGAACAAUCUCAUGGAUAACAUUUCUAGAAGACAACGAAUGACCAUCUAUGACUUCUACAUGUAUACAUUUAUUUUUCUUGAUUAAAGAUAUUUUUUGAUUUUUGACAAAAUCUUUGUCUAUAAAACACGUUGAGGUUCUUGAAUCUAAUAAGAUAAAGACUUUGUGAUUUUUAAGUCCUAAACAUACAUGUAUUAUAAAACAAGGUGAAGGAUCUGAGGAAAGAAUAAGACCUUUAUUAAGUAUUGCAUAUGAUUCCAGCUACAUAGUUCCUAUUAUAGUUGAAAAAACUUGUUUUCUGACACAUUAUCUUCUUUGGUAAUUGUGUUCUUCAUUUUGUAACUAUGUUGCUUCUUUGGACAAUAUUGAGUAGUGUGCUUAGUUUCUCCAUAAUAUAAAUACAAACCUUCUUAGCGAUGUCGAGUUUUUUCCUACUCCAUAAUGGUUUAAAACAUAUUGUAUCAAUUUGAUUUGGUUCCAUCCUUAAUGAAUAUGUUUCAGUAAACUUCAAAGUUGCUGCCAUUACGUAACUUGUUCCUCUCCAGCCAAGUCUUUGUUCUUGAUGCCUUUCAAAUAAUUGCUUGUUGCAUGCAAUGGCUCGAGUAAUAAAUUGUUUCAAAGAUUUUGCUUUUGAUAUUAUUAAUAACAAAUCUUCAAUGCUAUCUUUCAACCCAUAUCAAAAUUGAUUGAUAAGUGCUUUUUCAUUUCAGUCCACAUUGCAAGAAAGGUUUUGGAAUUUAGCAGCAUAUAUGGUGGCUGACCGUGAUUCUUGUCAUAAAGUUAAGAGUUUGGUCUCUAUUACUCUUUCUCAAUCAAUUUCUUCAAAUGUGGCCAUAAAUACUUCUAAGAAUGAAUUCAAAUCAUAAAAAAGUCGUAAAUCUUUCUCCAUUAAAUGUACAAAUCAAGAGAGAGCAUUUCUUGAUAGAAGUGUACCUAUGAAUCUGACUUGAAUAAAUCCAUCGAAAUAUUUGGAAAGAUGUAACCUUAAAUAGAGCUUGAAUUGUUGCAAAAAUCCUUGAAAUUUUAAUCUUGUUCUAUCGAAGUUCUUAGGCAUACUAAUCCUUGCUCUUAUCAUACUUAUAGGAGGAAAAUUUUCUAGAUUUGGUUGUAAGGUCAAUCUACUUCCUUCCUUUAACUGCACAAUUUCUUACUACAUACUUUGAACUUUUUCUAUAGGCAUAGGUAUAGUAUUUCCAUGAUUCACGUUGGAAAUACAUGAGAUUUUUACUCUUAGGAUAUUGAUAAGUUCAUGAAGAUCUGUAAUAGUUAUAAAUCUAUUUUCACUUCCAUUAAAAGUGGCAUCCAUAAUUUUUUCUUCUAUAAAUAAUUCAAAUAAAUUUAAAAAAUUAAAUUAAAAGAAAGUAAUCCGUAACUUCUAAUAAAAAUUUCCACAAAGAUGGAUAAUCCACUCUCUUAAAAGAAAAGAUUAGAAUUAAAAAAUAAGAUUUUUUGCUUAAAGGUGGAUGGUCUGUAACCUUCAAAACACAACAAUAGAAGUGAGAUAAUCCACUCACUUCUAAAACAAGACAAAAACAGUAUGUUAGUACUCUUGUCAAAUUAUCAAGGAUAUGAAUCUUGAAGAAAGAAAAUUCUCAAUACAUUCUUGUAUCACUGAAGACAACUAAAAAGUCACUCAAGAGGUGAUAUAAUAUUUAACUAGAAUGGCUAUUGCCAAAAACAAGAAGACUAAAAAGUCUUAGAACAAGAUUAAGAACUAUAAAGGUGUUGACAAGAGUAAAGAAGGCUUCACUCUUACCUCAUAUACUUAUAAUUAGAAGCUACGUAGCAAUAUCCUAUAGGACCUCCAAAACAUGUUGACUUUGCUAACCACAUGUCUUAACUUACAAAGUAAGUUAUCUAUGUAUGCGCCACAUAGUUAGCUUCUUCUACAAGCUACUACAUUGAAUUAACUUGUUCUACAAGCUACUAACACAUGAUUAGCUUGUUGGUCAAGUUUCUAACCUACAAAUAAAUCUAAAGUCAAAACCACAUCUAUAAAGCUUCUAAAAAACUUUUCUAAAAGACUUUAUGAAGUUAAUCUAUAUUUAUCUAUCUUUAUCUAAUCAUAUAAGUAACUAUUGAGAUAAAUGUAUAUGUCCAUGACACAAAGAUAUUAUUAAAGGAUAGGCAUCACAUAUUGACAAAGAUGUUAGAAUUAAAAGCUUUUAACAAAUAGCAAAGUGAGAGUAUUAAAAUAAAUAAAUAAAAGUGAAAGUAGAAUAAAUUAUCUUAUAGAAAAUAUUAUCUUAAGUAAAUUAUUAAUAGUCAAAGUAUUGAUUCUUGAUAUGUAAAAAAGACAUCAUAUGGAUACAAGAUAAGGUCAAGGGCCGAGAGUCAAAGUCAAGAAGAUAAAUUAUCAAUUAAAAAAUAUCCAAAGACUAAAUAAGAAUAAUUAAUAUUUGGUAUAAAAUAUCUUUUUAAUUAAUAAUAUGUCAAAAGAUCCUAAGACCAUAAGAUAUUGUCAUAGAAAUAUAUUUAUUGUAAUUGUUACCUUGAUAAUAUGAAUAGAUAGAAGUAGGUAAAAUAGAUUAAUUUCAUAAUAUCUUUUAAAGAAGCUUCUUAGAAGCUUUAUAGAUGUUGCUUUAAUUUUAUAUGUAUUUUUAAUUAAUUAAGAGGUUAGAAACUUAGUCAACAAGCUAAUUACAUGUCACACAUGUUGGUAGCAUAUAGAACAAGCGAACUAUGUGGCACCCAUAUAAAAAACUUACCUUGUAAGUUAAAAUACAUGUGUUACAAAGUUAGAGGUCCUAUAGAACGUCGCCAUAUAGUUCUUGUGCAGAUAGUAUAUAUAGAGGUAAGAAUGAAGUCUUCUUUACUAUUAUCAAUUCUUUUCUUGUUUUUAGUGUAGUUUCAAGAAUCUUCACUUUUUUUGUCUUUUGGCAAUAGCUAUUUUAAUUUCUUUUUAAUAUAGAUAUUUUAUUAUUUUUAUUUUUUCAUACUUCUUAAAAAAAAUCUCACUUAUUUAUUUGCUUUUAUCGAGUUUUUUUCCUUAACAAAUUGACAAGAAUACACUUAUAAUAUCAAAGCUUUGUCUUUUUUUGAUUAAAAAUGGAUUAUCUCUUUAAAUUGAUAAUACAUAUGUAUAUUUGAAGUUAUGGAUUAUCUUCUUUUAAAAUAAUAUUAUUUUUUUUUAUUUUCAAGUUCUUUCAUUUACAUGUCUUGAGUAAUAUUAUAUAUCUUUUUUUUUCUAAGUAUUAUUAUAGCAAAGCUUAUUAAAAUAAAGAGUGCAAUGGUAUAAAUAUAAGUACAAUUAAAGGAGGUAAUGCUUACAAUGCAUCAACUCAAUUUAUCACUACAAAAAAAAACAAAAAAAACAAAAAAAAACAAAAAUCAAGGUAUAAAGAUGAUUUAGACCAAAUCAUAUCCUUUCUCCUAUAGUAGAAUAUUAUUCAAGCACUAAAGAACUAAAAAUUGCCUUACUUGAAAAGUUUGAUGGUAGAAGAUUAAAGUUUUGAAUAUUCAUCAAUAAAAUACACCUAACAAUUAAACUUCAACCUCAAAGCUAUCCAACUCCAACAUCACAAGUAAACUUUAUUAAAAUUCUAUUUUUUUAGUUUUGUACUAUCAUAGUUUUUAUCUUUUCUUCAACGACAUGAUCUAAUAUUGAUAAUUUGAAAGCUUUCUUGAGAGAGUUUCAAUCCAUGUAUGGAAGACAUGAUGCAAUUUGUAUUGCAAUAAAUAAGAUUCAUGUUUUAUGACAAAAAAACCAAUCUGUAAUAUUAUAUGUUUUAUAAUUUAUACAACUUUUAAUUGAUAUCAUGUAAAAUGAAAUUACACUCAUUAGCAAAUUUCUUUUUAAAUUAUAAUAUGUGAUAAAAAUUAAUUUACUUAAUCCUCAAACAUUGAAUCAGGUAAUUGAUUUUGCUAUAAAGUGUCAUAAUCAACUUUUUGAAUUUUGGUAUAAGAAUCAUAUAAGUAAGCCUCAAUAUUAAUACAAUUAAAUGGAAACACUAACUUCAUUUUAAUACAUACCUUCAAAAGUAGAGGAUAUGCAAAUUAAUGCAAUACAUUGUCCAAGUAGAGAGAAUUUGCCUUAAGAAAGCAAUGGGCUUCUAGUUGUCACUAAUUACUCAAAAAAGUCUCAAGAUAAAAAAAAAAAUACCAAGUUUAUAUAUAAAAUUAUUCCUAUAAGUGCAAGUACAUCAAUACAUAAGCCUUAAGUACCAAAGAUCACCAAAAAUAUAAUAAAAAUAUUAUAAAAACUUAUAUAUCCUUAAGGUGAAUUUUUUUCAAACUUCAACACCUCAUAUCUCACGAUCAAGCCAUCCAAACAAACCAAAAUUUUACAUGAAGUAUUGACGUACUUUCAACAACUACUACAACAAAUUUUAAUUAGAAAUUUAUUACGGAACUUAAGAUAUUGCCAAAAUCCUAAUGAUAGCUUUAAAUCCUUGCUUAUAUAUAUAUAUAUAUAUAUAUAUAUAUAUAUAUAUAUGAAAAUUUCUUCAUAUCUCACAAAUUAAAUAAUCAAAUACCAUAAAAUUUUAAUAUAUAAUUUUUUAACCUAAUAACAUAUACUUUUAGAAAUUUUGAGCCAAAAAUCCAUCCAAAAACUCAAGAUAUGGCUCCAACCAUUACUAUCAACAAAACGAGUUACUUACUGCCUUUGAAUUACAUAUAUUGUCUUUAAUAUUGUAUAAUUCCUUCAUUAAAACUCUAAAUACAAAAAUUCUUUCAUAAAAGAUGUAGAUCUUAAAAUUAUCCUUGUGGCGGCACCUUUUGAUUUCCAAAUUCUAUCAUAAAACUUCUUAUAUCUUCAAAUGAGUAAUAAUAUAUCUAAAAAAGAUAUCUUAACUUCAAAUGGCUAUAAUUUCAUCAUCCUAACUUCAAAUCCUCUAAACUUUGUAUAAAAAUUAUAGUCCAAAUCUUAAAUCUUAUAAUCUUUAUUUUUUAUUUUCAAAUGUUUCUUUUGAAGUUGCCAAAAUCCUUGUUAUGGUUGCAGAUAGCUUGUUGAAUGCUUAUUGGACAUGGCUUUUGAUCAAUAGGGAUGAAAAUCUUCACCUUUUACUUUCAUCCAUCUAUAUCUUGCUUUCAUUCCUCCAAAUAAGUUUUUUAAAGAUUUGGAUCUUUAUCUUUGAGUUCCAAUCUUUUCCUUAAAUUUUAUACUAAAUAUCUAAAUCCUACAUAAUUUAAAUAAUAUAAUCAACAUAAAUAAAUCUCAAAAUAAAUUUUCUUACAUUAAUUUUCUUUAAAUUAACCUAUUAACUACUUAAAUGCACAUCAAUAUUUAUAAAUAUAUUAUAUAUUUUAUUUAAUUUUUAUAUAGUAUAAAUAAUUAUAAUAUGAUAAUAUUUCAAAUUUCUUACUAAGUAAGAAAAGACUUCUCAUUAUUAAAAAGGAUCGUAUUUAUAUUAUAGAGAACCAAAGCACAUUACUCAACAAUAUCCAAAGAAAGAACAUUAUCAUGAAAUAAAAAGUGUAACUGUCAAAGAAGACAAUAUAUUAGAAAAAAAAAAAUUUAGCUACAAUAGAGAUUGUGCAGUUGGAAACUUGUACAACACCUAAUGAAGGUUCUAUUGUCUAUUCAAAAUCUUCUUUUUGUUUUAUAAUAGAUAUUAGUUUAAGACCUAAAUAUCACAAAGCCUUUGCUUUAGUAGAUUUAAGAGCUUCAUCUUAUUUUUUAGAUGUAGAGAUUAUUGAAAGACAUACCAUACUAUUUGUAAAGAAAACAAAACAUGUUCAUGUAGAAGUCAUAGAUGGUCAUCUGUUGUCCUCAAGAAACAUUACUCAUAAAAUAUUUCUUCUAAAAGUAGUAAUUAAUGGUCAUAGUAGUUUUGUAGUAUUUAAUAUCAUUAGAUCUCUUUCUAAAUUAGUCAUUUUAAAUUUAUUAUGAUUAAAAAAGUAAAAUCUUCAAAUAGAUUAGAUUUCUUAUAGUCUUAAUUUUUUUAAAAUUAUAAUUAAGAGUAUAGUUAAUCAAGUAGAAAGUCAUAAAUCUAGUACAACCAAACUAAUAUGUGUGGAUACAAGAGCUUUUUUGCAUGUUGCAAAAAAUGAUCACCUUGUAUCAUUUAUGCUAUACUUAUUUUUAAUAGUGGAAAGACUUCAAAUGAUAUUUUAAAUUAGUAUCAAGAUUUUCAAGAUGUAUUUGAAAAGAAGCAUGAAAAUAUUCUUUUAGAACAUUAUUCCUAUGAUUGAUCAAUUAACCUUUAAGAAAGAACUUAGUUGCCAUUUGAAUUGAUCUAUAAUUUAUCAUAAAAUGAAUUGCCUAAAUUCAAAGAAUAUAUUGAAGAAAAUCUAGCCAAAAACUUCAUAUGCUAUUCCAAAUCUCUAGCAUGAGUUCUAAUUUUAUUUAUAAAAAAAAAAAAAAAAAAAAAAAAAAAAAAAAAAAAAUGAUCAUUGUAGAUGUCUAUCAAUUAUUGAAGGCUCAAUAAGAUCACCAUCAAGAACAUGUAUUUGCUACGUUAGUUAUUUGGUCUUCUUCAUUAAUUGAAUUAAGCUGAGAUCUAUAUAAAAAUAGAUCUAUAAAAGGUAUAUAAUCUAGUACUUAUUAAAGAAAGAAAUAAAUAGAAAACUUUAUUUUAAAUCAAGUAAAGACAUUUUCAAUAUAAUAUCAUUUCUUUUGAACUUAUAAUUGCAUCAGUAGCUUUUCAACAUCUGAUGAAUAAUUUCUUUUGAGAGUUUUUAAGAUGAUUUUAUUAUUUUUUGUUUAAAUAACAUCUUAAUCUAUUUUAAGAAUAUAGAAGAAUAUGAACUUCAUAUUUGUCAUGUAUUACAAAAACUAAGAGAUGCAAAACUCUAUGCCAAGAUAAAUAUAUAUAUAUAUAUAUAUAUAUAUAUUACUCUAUUGAAGUUGAUUUUUUAGGAUACAUUAUUUCAAAUGAUAGAUUUAUGACAGAUCUUUAAAAAAAUUCAAACUAUUAUGGAUUAAAAGAUCUUAAAUAUGAUAAAAAAACAAUUCCAAUUAUUUAUAGAAUUUUUCAACUACUAUUAAAUCUUUAUUAAGGACUUCUUUUAAGUUGUAGCUCAAUUUAUGUAUUUGACUUGUAAAAACAAACUUAAAUGGAAUAAAGAAGCAAAAGAAGUGUUUGAAGCUUUAAAAAAAGCUUUUGUUUCUAUACCAAUCUUAUAUUAUAUUAAUUUUUUUAAGCCAUUUUGUAUGAAAAUAGAUGCAUCAAACUUUGUUUUAAGUGCUGUAUUGUCACAAACAGGAACAAAUGAUAAACUUAACCUGAUAGCUUUUGUCACGGAUAUAUGCAUGUAACCCAGUAAAUACAUGUAUAAAUAUAUAGAAGUAAGUAAAAAUAAGUAAAAAUAAGUUAAUUCUAUAGUAUUUAAUAUGGAAGCUUUUCAGAAGCUUCAUAGACAUUGCUUUGACUUUAUAGGUAUCUUUAAUUGACUUUUUGGAUUAGAAACGUGGUCAACAAGUUGGCCAUGUGCCACACAUGUUGUUAGCUUGAAGACCAAGCUAACUAUGUGGCCCACACUUAGAAAAACUUGCAUUGUAAGUCAAGACAUGUGUCCUACAAAGUCAACACAUAUUGGAGGUUCUAUAGAACGUUGCCAUAUAGCCCUUAGUUAGAUAGUAUAUAUAGAGACAAGAGUGAAGCCUUCUUCAUUCUUGUCAACUCCUUUCUUACUUCUAGUCUAGUUUCAAGGAUCUCUAGUUUUCUUGGCUUUUGGCAAUAGCCAUUCCAAUUUCUUUCUUAAUAUACAUAUCAAUUUAUUUAUAUUUUACCAUCUUUCUUUGAGAGAAGUCUUACUUAUUUAUUUGUUUUUAUCAUAUUCUUGUCCUUGACAGAUUGACAAGAUAAUACUUACAAUAUCAGAGCUUUGUUUAAUCUUGAUUAAGAAUAGAUUACUCCUUUCUCUUGAUAAGACAUAAGCAUAUUAAAAGUUACAAAUUACCCUCUUGUAAAUUGAUAUUGUCCUUAGUAUUUUCUUUGUUCUCAAGUCCUCUCUUCUAUUUGUUUUGAGCGAUAUUAGACAUCUUCUCUUUUUUAAGUGUUAUCAUGGCAGAACUUACUGAAAUGAAGAAUACAAUAGCACAAAUGUAAGAGCAAUUGAGGGAGUUAAUACUUGCGAUGCAUCAACUCAAUUUACCACCACAAAGAGCAAUAAGAUUGGCACGAAGUGAAGAUAUAGAAAUGAUUGGAGUUGCUUCAACAUCUGUACCAAAUCAUAUCCCUUCUCCUAUGGUGGAACGCCCUUCCAGUAUUAGAGAACCAAGAAUUGCCCUACCCAAGAAGUUUGAUGGCACCAAAUCAAAGUUUUGAGGAUUUAUCAAUCAAGUACAACUUAUGAUUAAACUUCAACCCCAAAGCUAUCCAAUUCUAGGAUCGUAAGUUAGAUUCAUUAGUACGCUUCUUUCACGUUCAAUAAUAUCAUGAUUUUUAUCUUUUCUUGAACAACAAGAUCCAAUAUUGGAUAAUCUAGAGGCUUUUUUGGUAGAGUUUUGAUCCAUGUAUGGAGAACAUGAUGUAAUUCAUGUUGCAACUAAUAAGAUUCAUAUUUUACUAUAAGAUAAUCGAUCAGUAAUGUUGUGUGCUUUACAAUUUUGAAAACUUGCAACUGAUAUCAAGUAGGAUGAUACUGCACUUAUUAGCCAAUUUUUCAACGGAUUACAAUAUGAGGUAAAAAAAUUAAUGCUCAACUUACUUGAUCCUCAAACAUUGAGUCAAGCAAUUGACUUUAUUGUAAAGUGUGACAAUCGCCUUUUUGAAUUUUGAUCUAAGAACCAUACAAGUAGACCUCAAUAUUACUAUGAUUCAAUAGCAACACCAACAUCUCUUCAAUACAUACAUUCGGAAGUAGAAAAUAUACAAAUUGAUGCAAUACGUUUCAAACCUCUUAUUGAGCAAGAAAAGACUUGCCAUCGUCAAGAAAGAUUGUACUUAUAUUAUAAAAAACUUAAGCACACUGCUCAAUAUUGUCCAAAGAAAUGAUGCAACUAUAAAAUGAGGUAUACGGCGAUCAAAAGAGAUAGCAUGUCAAAAAACGAAUUUGUCCAAUUACAAUAGGGAUCGUGCAGUUGGAACCUUGUACAAUGCCUAGUGAAGGUCCUAUCUUCUCCUCAGAACCCUCUCCAUGUUUUACGAUAAAUGUUAUUCUAGGACCUAAAUAUCUCAAAGCCUCUACCUUACUAGAUUCAGGAGCCUCAGCAUGUUUCUUAGAUGAAAAAUUUGUUAAAAGACAUAGCAUAUUUUUAAUAAAGAAAAUUAUCAUGUUCAUGUAGAAGUCAUAGAUGGUCGUCUGUUGUCUUCAAGAGAUGUUACUUAUGAAACCCUUCCUAUAGAAAUAGCAACUAAUGGUCAUAGUAGCUUUGUAAUAUUUAAUAUCAUUAGAUCUCCUUUUAAUCCACUCAUUUUAGGUUUAUCAUGGCUAAAAAAAUAUAAUCCUAAAAUAGAUUGGAUUUCUUGUAGUCUUGAUUUUUUUGAAAGUAUAACUAAGAGUGUAGUUAAUUAAGUAGAAAGUCAUAAGUCUAGUAUAAUUAAACCUAUAUUUGUAGGUAUCAGUGCUUUCUUGCAUGCUACAAAAGAAAGAUCCCCUUAUGUCAUUUAUGCCACACUCGUUUCUACUGGUGGAAAGGCUUCAAGUGGCAUUCCAAGCUAAUAUAAAGAUUUUCAAGAUGUAUUUGAGAAAAAGAAUGUGAAUACUCUUCCAAAACAUCAUUCCUAUGACUGUUCAAUUGACCUUCAAGAAGGAGCACAACCGCCAUUUGGACUAAUCUACAAUUUAUUUCAAAAUGAGUUGGCUAAACUCAAAGAGUAUAUUGAAGAUAAUUUGGCCAUAAACUUCAUACGCCAUUCCAAAUCUCCAGUAGGAGCUCCAAUUUUAUUUGUGAAGAAAAAAGAUGGAUCAUUGUGGAUGUAUGUUGAUUAUUGAGGACUCAACAAAAUCACUAUAAAAAAUAGGUACCUGCUACCUUUGAUAUCUGAACUUCUUGAUCAGUUGAAUCAAGCUAAGAUCUAUACAAAAAUAGAUCUACGGGGCGCAUAUAAUUUGGUACACAUCAAAAAAAGGAGAUGAAUAGAAGACUACGUUUCAAACAAGGUAUGGACAUUUUGAAUACAACAUCAUGCCUUUUGGACUUACAAAUGCACCAACAGCAUUCUAACAUCUAAUGAAUGAUGUCUUUUGGAAGUUUUUAGAUGAUUUUGUUGUCUAUUACCUAAACGACAUCUUAAUCUAUUCUAAGAACUCAGAAGAAUAUGAACUUCAUGUUUGCCAAAUAUUACAAAAAAUAAGAGAUGUAAGACUCUAUGCCAAGAUAGAAAAGUGUAUAUUUCACACUACUCAAGUUGACUUCUUAGGAUACAUCAUUUCAAAUGAUGGACUUAUGAUGGAUCCUAAGAAAAUUCAAACUAUUAUGGAUUAGAAGAUUCCAAAAAUGGUAAGAGAUGUCCAAUACUUUUUGGGAUUUGCUAAUUACUAUCAGAUCUUCAUCAAAGACUUCUCUCAAGUCGCAGCUCCACUUACACGUUUGACUUGCAAAAACAAACUUCAAUGGAAUCAAGAAGCAGAAGUAGCAUUUGAAGUUUUGAAGACAACCUUUGUUUUUGUACCAAUCUUGUAUUGCGUCGAUUUUUCUAAGCCAUUUUUUAUGGAAAUAGAUGCAUCAAACUUUGCUUUGGAUGCCGUAUUGUCACAAAUGGAAAUACAUGAUAAACUUCAUCCAAUAACUAUUCAUUCCAAAAAAAUUUCAACAAUCGAGAUCAACUAUGAGAUCCAUAACAAAGAACUUCUUAUAAUCGUGGAUUCAUUUUAAGAAUGAUGCCAUUAUCUAGAAGGUGCUUCUAGCCUAGUCACAAUGUAUACAAAUCACAAGAAUCUUGAAUAUUUUAUGGCAGCACAUGAUUUGAAUUAUCGCCAAGUUCGCUGAAGUAUGAUUUUAUUAAGAUUCGAAUUCAAGAUCACUUAUCGACUAGAAAAAAAACAAGGUUUAUCAGAUGUACUCUCUACACGAUCUUACCUUACACCAAAGGAAAGAAAUGCUGCUUUUGAUUAACAACGGAUAAUUCUCUUGAAGCCAGAGCAUCUUCAUCUUCGAGCAAUGAAAUCAAUACUAACUAUUGAUUCAACUUUCAUUAAGUAAGUUUAAUUAAGUAUGUCUUUUGAUCCUCUUAUUCGUGAUAUUAAGGAAAAUCCUUCAAAGUCUCAUGAUACUUCCAAGUUUGAAUUCAAGAAGAAUCUACUAUAUUUUGAGAGAUGCCUAUAUGUUCUAGAAAGUGAAGCUUGAUUACGUAUUCUUCAAGCUCGUCAUGACUUUCUAACAGUAGAACAUUUUGGGUACAAUAAAACUUUGGAACUAAUAUCUAGGAAUUUUUCAAGGGCAUAAAUGUGGAAAGCAAUUAAAGAUUUUGUACAAUCUUAGGAUGUUUGCUCGAGAUCAAAAACUCCUCAUCAUUGACCUUACGGACUUCUUCAACCAUUAUCCAUUCCAGAACAACCAUGGUCUUCUAUUUCUAUGGAUUGCAUCAUAGAUCUUCCAAUUUCAAGUUUUUAUGACUCUAAAUUCAUGAUAGUAGAUCAUUUCACCAAGAUGGCACAUUUUGUACUAUAUACAAAAUCUAUCACAGGUAAAGAAACAGCUAAGCUCUUUCUCGAUAAUAUCUAUUACUAUCAUGGAUUAUCCAAAGAUAUUAUAUCAGAUAUGGGAAUUCAAUUUGUAUCAAGAUUUUGGCGGACUCUUUUCAAGAUUCUAAAAGUGGAUAUAAAACUAUCUUCAACAUUCCAUCCUCAAAUUGAUGGACAAACGGAGCGUGUUAAUCAAGUUUUGGAGCAGUAUUUAAAAUGUAACAUUAACUACCAACAAGAUGAUUGGACAACUCUUUUGCCAUUGGUAAAGUUUGCUUACAAUAAUACAAUACAUUUUUCUACAAAACAAACACCUUUCUUUGCCAAUUAUGGUUAUCAUCCAUGACUUGAUACUUUUGACUUUUUAAAAGUUGUUAAUCUUGUUGCGAAAGUUUUGGCAAUUCAUUUAUCAGAACUACAUGCAACGAUAAAGGUACAGUUAAAAGAAGCUCAAGAACAAUAAAAGGUCAAUGUGGAUGUCUAUCGAAAGGAACAACUACCAUUCUACAUGGGUGAUGAGGUAUGAUUACUUUAUUGCAAUAUCAAGAUCACUCGUCCUUGUAACAAGAUGGACUAUCAAAGGCUUGGAUCAUUUUCUAUUUCUGCAUAAAUCAAUCCAGUUGCAUAUCGUUUACACCUACUGGAGUCAAUGAAAAUCCAUCUGGUGUUCCAUGUGUCUCUUUUUGAACCAUACAAGACAAUGGACAUACCAAAAAGAAGAGAAGCUCCACCUCCUCCUAUAGAAGUGGACAAUAAUGAAGAGUUUGAAAUAAAAGAAAUCUUAGAUUCAAGGUGGCACUGAAAUAAAUUGAAAUAUCUUAUCCAUUGAUACAGAUAUGAUAUUAGUGAACGCACAUAAGAGCCAAUAAAGAAUCUUGCAAAUAUAGCAAAGGUGGUAGAGGCUUUUCAUCGACGACAUCCAUCAAAAUCAAGAUGAAAACCUUUUUUAUAAAAGAAACAAGAUCUAGGCAAGAUAAUAUUCUAAUUCGAAUACUUGUUUGUAGCUUUUUUGUAGUUGUGACACUCAUGAGAUGGAGAACCAGCAACCAAUGGAUUCGACUCAAGAGCCUUCAUUUGUUGACUUGUUGGACGAGAUAUUAUGAUUGUCACAACCUUCAAGAUGAUGCAAUCGAGAUGAAGAUCUUCAAGAACGAUAUAUUCUUCCUCGAAUAGAUGGUGAGAUACAAUGCGUUAGGUAUCACGACCUUGGAAGGGACUUCCAAUGUUUGGUGAUUUUACUAGAGGUAGAAACACUUCCUGAUGGUAUUCUAAAUGUUUUAUUCGAAGGAAGUUAUGAAGGCAUCAACAAUGAUUAAAUAACUGGGUGGUCUUCCCACACUGGUAUGGAACACUACCGAUGGUUGAGAGGCCCUAUCAAUCAUCUUCGAAGAGAACAAAGAUCAAAGUAUGUGGCAAAUACAAUUUGUCACAUCAUAGAUUUCGUCAACAUAUGAUUACCGCUCCUCGUGGAACUCGUCCCUAGAAAGGGAGGUAAUGUCAUGGACAUAUGCAUGUAAGCCAAUAAUUACAUGUAUAAAUAAGUAGAAGUAAGUAAAAGUAGAUAAAAAUAAGUUAAUUCUAUAGUAUUUGGUAUAAAAGCUUCCUAGAAGCUUCAUAGAUGCUGCUUUGACUUUAUAGGUGUCUUUAAUUGACUUAAUAUAUAUAUCAAGUUAUUUCUAUUUUGUCAUCUUUCUUUGAGAGAAGUCUUACUUAUUUAUUUGUUUUUAUCAUGUUUUUGUCCUUGACAGAUUUUUAUUCUAAAAAUAUUUUAAUAGCCAAAAUCAAUUACAAGAUCUACAACAAAGAUUUUUUUGAAAUCGUAGAUUUAUUUCAAAAAUAGUACUAUUAUUUAGAAGACACUUCUAAACCAAUCACAAAGUAUAUAAAUCACAAGAAUCUUGUAUAUUUUAUGUCAUUAUGUAUUUUGAAUUGUCAUCAAGUCUAUUAGAGUAUGUCCUUAUCAAGACUCAAAUUCAAGAUUACUUAUUAAUCAAAAAAAUAACAAGAUUUAUUAGAUGCAUUUUCUAUAGAAUCUUAUCUCGCACCAAAGGAAAGAGAUGUCACUUUUGAUCAACAAUGGAUAAUUUUUUUAAAGCUAAAGCAUCUUUAUUUUUAAGUAAUGAAAUCAAUAUUAACUAUUGAUUCAACUUUCUUUAAGUAAGUUUAGUCAAAUAUGUCUUUUGAUUUUCUUAUUUGUGAUAUUAAAAAAAAUAUUUCAAAGUCUUAUGAUAUUUCUAAGUUUGAAUUCAAGAAUAAUAUAUUAUAUUUUGAGAGACACUUAUAUGUUCCAAAAAGUGAAGCUUGAUUAUGUAUUUUUCAAGCUCAUCACGACUUUUCAACAGUAAGAUAUUUUGGAUACAAUAAGACUUUGGAGCUAAUAUUUAGAAAUUUUUGGUGGCCUCAAAUAUGAAAAGAAAUCAAAGAUUUUGUACAAUCUUGUAAUAUUUGUUCAAAAUCAAAAACUCCAUGUUAUCGAUCUUACAAAUUUCUUCAUCUAUUAUCCAUUCCAAAACAACCAUGGUCUUUUGUUUCUAUAGAUUUUAUUACGAAUCUUUUAGUUUUAAGUUCUUAUGAUUCUAUAUUUGUGAUAAUGGAUUGUUUCAUGAAGAUUUCAUAUUUUUUUUACAAUGUACAAAAUCUAUUACAAGUAAAGAAAUAGUUAAGUUUUUCCUUAACAACAUCUAUUACUAUCAUGGAUUAUCUAAAGAUAUUAUAAUGGAUAAAAAAACUUAGUUUAUAUUAAGAUUUUUAAAAAUACCUUUUAAGAUUUUAAAAUUAGAUAUAAACUAUCUUUGGCUAUCUAUCCUCAAACUAAUAAACAAAUAAAGUAUAUAAAUCAAGUUUUGGAGCAAAAUAUGAGAUUUACUAUCAAUAAGAUAAUUGGAUAAUUUUUUUGCCAUUGAGAGAGUUUACUUAUAAUAAUAUUUUACAUUCUUCUAUGUAAAAAAUACCUUUCUUUGCUAAUUAUGGCUAUCAUUUAUAACUUGAUGUUUUUGACUUUUUAUAAGUUGAUAAUCAUAUGGUGAAAGAUUUGACAAAUCAUUUAUUUGAACUAUAUAGAACAAUGAAGGCAUGACUAAAAGAUGAUCAAGAACAAGAAAAGAUCAACACAGAUGCCUAUUACAAGCAACAACCUCAUUUUCACAUUUGUGCUAAGAUAUGGUUACUUUGCCAUAAUAUUAAAACUAUUUGCUCUUAUGAUAAGUAAGAUUAUUGUAGAUUUCAACCAUUUCUUAUUUGUAAAUAAGUCAAUCUAGUUGUUUAUUGAUUAUAUCUAUCAAAGUCUAUGAAAAUCCAUGUCAUAUUUCACAUGUCUCUUUUGGAUCUAUAUAAAAUAGUAAAUAUUUUGGAAAGAAUAUAAAUACCACUACUUCUUAUAAAAGUAAACAAUAAUAAAAAAAUUCAAGGUAAAAGAAGUCAUAGAGUCAAGGCAAUGCUAAUUUAAAUUAGAAUAUCUUAUUCAUUGGAGUAGUGUCAAGCUCUAAUAUGACUAUAUGAUAAAAAUAUAAUCAAAAAGGAAUUUUUAAUUAAUAUUUAAUUAUCUUAAUUCAAUGAUAAUUUAAAAUAUUUAAACAUGACUUUUUAAAAAGCCUCUUAAUUUAUUUUCUUAUAUUAAUAGCUAAUAGAUUAAAAGUUGGUUGGUAAUUUUAUCUUUUAGGCUAUAGAAACUCUUUUAUUACAUUAGAAAGGCCAUAAAUUAAUAAAAUUAUAUUAUAAUAAGUAAAUAAUUAACAUGGUUGAUACUAGGAUUAAGUUAGAGAUAAGGUUGGGCUAAAAAAUCCCUAAGAUAGGUUAAAUUGAUACUCAAGGAUCAACCAUUUGUGGGACAAGGGCAAAAUCUGACCUCUAGCCAUUAAAAUGGUUGUUCAAGAAAAAAUAGAAAAGGUAUUUGAAGAUCGGAAAAUAAGAUUAGUGAAUUAGAUUCAAGCUUAUUCUAAAUGUAUAAGGUUUAUUUUCAAAGGAUUUGGAAUGACUUUGUAAUUAUUAUUCAAAGUCAAGGUUUAUAUUAGUGAUUUGGAAUUUAUGCAAUAUAAUUAAGGCUCGCACUCUUGGCUAGUUUGUGCAAUUGGUGUCACAUCCCCAAUUCAAACUUUAAUAAUGCUUGGUUUAUUAAGUAUCUUAAGUAUUUGUAAAAUUUUAUAUUAAUCUAAUGAUGCAAUUGGAAGAUAUUUGAGUUUUGAUACAAGAGGAUAUUAGAAGUUGGCAAUUUGGAAUUAGAUAGGAUUUCGAUAAUAUAUAGAAUUCUACUAGUUGGAUAAAGGUGAAAUUUGUUAUGAUGGUAAAAGAAUUCAAUGUUAAACUACACAUUAAUUUUGAAUUGAAGUUAAUUAUUGAAGAAGGAGAAAUUGCAAUUAGAACAUUUGCAUCAACUUUCAAGUUGAUGGCCAAGUGACAUCAAUGUGGUUUUUUGGCUUUUUUUGACAAUUUGUAAGUAGGAUUAGAUUGAAUUUUUUUUGAAUACAUAAAAGGCUUAUAGUGGCAUUUCUAUGCAAAAUUUUGCAUCAAGUGGACAAUCAAAUUAGAAGUUAUAGCUCACCAAAACUCACUAAUAAAUAUUAAGGCUUGUAAGGAGAAAUCAAAAUUACCUAAUUAUGAAAGUAAUAAGACGAUUGGGAUUUAGGUAUGGUUGAGAUUACUAAAAAGAGAAUUUUUGAAUACUUUGUAUUAGCUUUAAGCACUUUUGAAUUAAAAUUCGAAUUGUAUUCUUCUUAUAUGUGUGAAAUCUAUUAGGAUUUUUUGAAUAUUUGUAAAAUAUAACUUCACCUUCCACAGCCAAGUGCUUAGUGUAUUCUCAAACAAGACAACACAUAUUACAACAAUGAAUAAAAUAUUAGCCAAUAUAUAUGGAGGCCAACAAAAAAUCUUACAAAUAUAGUAAAAAAAAGUCAAAGCUUUUCAUCAAUGAUACCUUUAAAACUAAGAUGAAGAAUAGCAAACUUUUUCUAUAAAUAGAAUAUAAUUUAGAAAAGAUUGUAUUCUCUCUUUUAUCUUUGUUUGUAAUUUUUAUAUAAUUGUGGUAUUAAAGAGAUGGAAAAUCAAUAGCCAACAUGUUCAAGUUAAGAGCCAUCAUUUAUUGACUUACCAAAUGAGAUAUUAUGAUUAUCAUAUAUUAAUAUAUACAUUUAUAUUUUCUACCUAAGAAUAUAUUUAAACAUGGCUACAUGAUUUUGAAAUUUUUGGAAGUUGCAAUAAAAUAAUUAUAUAUACCUAUGUUUAAUUUUUAAUUUUAAAUAAUUUUUUUUAUUAAAUGAUGCUUUCUCAAUAUAUGAUUCUUUUUCAAAAUAUUCAAUCUUGAGUAUUAAUACUAAAAAAUAAAAUUAAUAAUAAUUUAUAUUUUGAAAUUAUAAAAUAUAGGUUGUCCAAUUUUAUAUAUAUAUGUUAAAAUAAUUUGCAAUCAAAUACAAUCUUUGCCACAAAUGAUGUAUUUUAUAAUUUUUCCAAUCUUAUGUAAUCACCAUCCUCAAAUGCAAUCACAUAACCACAGAAUCCUUAAACAAACACUCCAUAAAAAAAUUAAAAUAUAAUAAAAUCAAGAUAAAAAGAAAAAAAACAAAAUCAUUUACAAAUCAAUUUUAAUAAUUCCCUUAAACAGCAUAAAAUAAUAAAAAUCCAUAUAAAAUAAAGGUUAUCAUGAAAACAAUAAAAUCAAUCAAUCAUUUAUAAAUAUAAAUAUAAAUAUAUAAAUAUAUUUAUAUUUUCAUAUACAUACACACGUGUAUGUAUUUAUUUUGCCAAAACUCAUAAAAUUCACAAAACAUCAUUCAUUACAUUCUUGAGCACUUCACCACAAACCACUAUUGUUUUUGUUUGUGUUUUUGUGUUUUGAGUGAUUUUCUUUCUUUCUUUCUUUCUUUCUUUCUUGCUUACUUUAUUUCUUUCUAUUGUUUGUAUAUUAGUGCUUUUGCAACUCUUGUUUUCCCUUCAUAAUCUAUGAAAACCUCAUGGAGCAUAUUGCAUUCGUGUUUUCUGAGGCUUGGUUUUGAGAGAUUGUCGAUGUCUAGGGAGAAGAAAAGAAGAGGCUUUGCUCCAUCUGCUCACUCGCUCGCUCGUAGCGGCAAGUUGCAACGUCGGAGGGAAUCGAGAGCUGGGGUUUGAAGGCUUGCAUCCUCAAUGAAUGAGUUUCCAUCGUCAUGAACUUGAAGGAUUCGUUGCAAACCAGGCUGCUCGUCGUUUCUUGCUCGAUCUGAGCUGUGUCUGCCCUGCAUUUUGUUGUCUUCGUCUGUGUUCUCAACGCGGCUUGGCUAUGGAAAGUCGCCUGGAUUGCACUUCGUUUGGAAGCAUGUUUGUUUUUUUUCUUUCUACGCCGAAAGUGGGGUCGUGCUCAAUAUGUUUUGGGUGGUGUGACGCAUUGAUGGUCGCAGUAUUUUGCUACCCAUACCUGUCUUUGCACUCUUUCCUCACCUGAUACUUGCCUUGGCCUGGUUGUUGAUAGACGAAUCAUGGUGAUGCUCUGUACCUUUUCGAGAGAAUUGGGUGUCUUGGAUUGGAUCGAACUCUCUGAACGAUCACUUCUGGCGAUAGGUUGUGAAGUGUACUGAGAAGGAAAUUCAAGUUGCUUGUAGGGGUGUUUGUUGUUGGAGGUUUGAUGAGGAAUGGAAGUGGCGACAGUGUUGUGGAGCACUGGGAGGUGUAGAUGUUGGUGCAUGUGUUUAGAUUGUAAAUAGGAGGCCGGGUGGCUGAGACCAAUGUGACCCUCGUUCUUGUGACCAUUUCUCUUGUUUUUGAAUGGAAGUGCAGGAUUGGAAUUGUGACAUGUCAAGUAAUAAAAACAAAAAAACAAAACCAUCAUGGUGGUCCCGAUUCUGACAUGAUAUGUACUUGGGAGGACUCUGCAGCCCUAGGGCUUGGAUGCCACUCCCAAAUGUUAAUUCCUACUCGCCCGCUUCUUUGGCUGUUUUACUCGCUGCGAAAAUACACCGGAUUCAAUCUUCAACGAAAAGGUCCCCAAUCCUUUGAAGCACGUGGAUUGGGUAGAGUAAAUACCCGAUUUAACCAUCAACAGAAAAGUCUAUAUAAGUCUUUGAAGCAGGUGGAUUAGUAAAUGACAGACCUGUUUUAGAAUAGAGAGGGAGAGAGAUUAGGAGGAGAAGGUGGAGGAAGAAGAAGAAGACAAUCGGUUCUCCGUUGGAGCUAAUAUGUGCAAAAUAGCUUACCGGCUCCUGUGUAUAGCAGCUGGAGUGUUGUAUCUCUUCGAUCAUGAGUGUUCCUGUUCGUUGCUUCAGGGCAAGCUUCUUAAACUGGUUUCAACUAAAUGACCAAUGUCUCAAUCGAUCUUUUGUUAGGCAACAAGUUUGUCGGAUUCUUUCCCUGUUAAAAUACCUAUUUGAAAACAUCAGUAACCGGAGCUUUUGGGGUGGCUAUGAAAAUUUUCAUUACGUGUCUUACCGCCUACUCACUCUUUGAUUAACGACGUGCCAGAGAUCCACAAGGUUUUUUUUUACAGGAAAGCAGGGUGAUCAAAUUGGGGAGGAAUGUACGCAAAUUUAUGCCUGGAACACUGUCAUCACUUAUUUGUCACGCUGAUGCAGCUUCAACACGUCAGAAAGAGAAUUCAAGAUUCCCUCAGCGUAAUAAAGUGAUUAGCGCGUGGAGGAAACUUAGAGCACAGGUUCAAGGGAUUCAGUUGAACUAACACAUCUUGCUGCACGCUUAAGACACUCUCUUCCCUCGUCUGUGUAUCCAUCUUGCGGUUUCGGAUGCAGGCAGGUCAUUGGUGAGUUGGGAUGCGUUAAGCUGGGUGCAGUUGCAUGAAUUACAAAUGUUCAGACGAUUUGCUGCUAAAUGUUUACCCCUCCUCAUACCAUUAUGUCAUGGUGCGCGUCCUUACGAAGUUGCCUCGUGCUCUCUCUCUCUCUCUCGUGACUAGAGCCUAGCCUGAGCAUGCUGAAGGCCAUGAUGCAGAUGUCAAGGAGUCGACAGAGCUCGAUGAUUCUUGUAGGUGUCUUGUUAGAGUCAAUUCUAAAUUUAAGUGCGGUAGAAGGGAUUUCGGAAUAUCAUGUCGACAAUACAAGCGGCUCGAUCAUUGACAGUGGAGGCAGGGAGCGGGUAUUUCAUGGAUUGAAUGUCGUUAUGAAAGCAUUUCCUUGGCAUCCUCGCACAGACGAGUUUGAUCCGCAGUUCUCCUUCACAGACGUCGACAUAGCCCUCCUGCGCAGUUGGGGUGUGAAUGUUGUCCGCCUGGGUGUGAUGUGGCCCGGCGUCGAGCCACAACGUGGCCAGGUGAACCAGACGUACAUCGAGGUCAUGCGGACGGUUGUUCGAAAACUUCAUGCAGCUGGCAUUGCCACGCUCCUUGAAUUCCACCAGGAUCUUCUCUCGUCAAGAUUUUGCGGGGAAGGCAUACCUUCUUGGGUUCUUGAUAAUACCAACCUCGGUGGGACGGAUUCUGAGAACCUCCUGGCUGAGAUAAAUGACGUUAGUUCGUCAUCAGCAGGCAGUAGUUCGACUUGGUGGAGAAUUUUGAGAGACAUUGUCGUAAACUUCAUUCCCUCUCUCUUGAUGCAGUCUUCGAGAUAUGAGUCAAACCACAGGGCCUCAACAUUCAGCGCCUCCAAGAGCUUUAUCGAAUCCUUCCCAGAGCCUCUAAGUGGAAGAUGGCCACUACCAGAUUCACCAGGAGAUAGUUCUCAUGAGCAGCAACCAUCGGACGAGCAAUGCGACAAACAUUCCUGGGCUUGGUACUACUUCUCUUUCGCAGUGUCGAGAGCUUUCCAGAGCUUGUAUGACAACAAAUGGGGCUGGGCAGAUUUGUUUGCAAACUACUGGCAAAUUGUUGCAACGUCCUUCCGUGAUCAGCCCGGAAUUUUGGGAUACGAGCUCAUCAACGAACCAUGGGCAGGAGACAUGUACCGCAAUCCACUCUUGAUGGUGCCAGGAGUGGCGGAUUACCACAAUCUUGCUCCAUUCUACGAAAAACUGCAGUCAUCAAUUCGAUCUGUCGACCCCGACAGAAUUCUUUUCAUGGAGUCUAUCACAUUUGAAGACAUCCGUUGUGGAUUCUCAACAGUCCCAGGAGGAGCACAGUUUCAGAACCGAACUGUGUUGAGUUAUCAUUUCUAUCAACCUCCUAAUGUGAAUUCCCGUCAAGCCAUCCGCGAGCGUCUGCGGGAAAGCAAGAAGCUGGGGUGUGGUGCCAUGCUGACGGAGUUUUUUGUGGCAGAUCAAGGUGCAAUCUCUCCUCGAAACUCGUGGAAUCUAUUCAACGCAGACAGGGUGGAUGAUGUGCUUGCCGAAGCAGAUGCUCACAAACAGUCCUGGAUCGCAUGGGAGUAUAAAGCCUUUCAGGUCAAGACAGGCUCCGUUGUGGAGCAGUCUCUCUUCACAUCUUCCGGGGACGUGAACCUGUUGCUGGCCAAGAAGCUCGCCAGGACAUACCCUCAAGCUGUGGCAGGCACCAUAUUGUCAUUCUCCUUCGAACUCAUCUCCUCCGACUUCACCCUCUCCUUCAUUGCAGGUCGGCCUUCUGCAAGUGGUGGUAUAUCCCACCAGACGCAGGUUUUUGUCCACAGGCCGUUUUACUAUCCCUCGGGACUUGCAUUUUCUGUGAACCAUGAUUGUGUUCAAGUGCAAGAAACAGAGAGAUUGAUCAUAUUGAGCCACUCUCAGGCUUGUGCGGGGUUCACAGUUUCUCUCAAGAUAAGUAAAAAGCCUGUCCAAAAUUUUUGAACUGGUAUUUGAGCCAUGAUCUCUCCUUCCGUUGCUUUCUUCCAGCAAUGCUGUGUUUCUCAACUGAGGUAUAUGUGGGUAUUGUCACUGAAUGAAGUGAGAUGAUGCACACUAGUUAGUUCCCUGGCAGUGCACUAGUUAUUCUUCAUGAACGUCAUGUUGUGAUUGCGAGACUGCCCAACAUGUGAUGAUCUCCCCAUCAAAUUCACUCUUCAGUCCUCUCAAAAGACCUGUCAGUCUUUCUCACACUCUCUUUUAUCUUGUACCUUUGUCUUCCACCUCACUUCUUGAACAUCCCUGUCCAUUCUGUUGUCUUCAAACAUUCAGAGAUGUUCCAAACGAUGAGAAUCGAAUUUGAUUGUUCUGCUUCUGAAAUCAUUGGCUGGUUGGAGCAACGUUACCAAAUGUACUUUAGCUGACAAUGCCGGUCGAUUCUUCAAAAUGUGGGUUAGAAGAAGCACAAAAACUGUUCUUGUGUGUUGAGAAAGCUGGACUGUGCAGAUCGGGUCGACUUUUAUAUUGUUGUCCAAUCUCAGAUACUUUACGAAGUUGAAGACACGGUUGUCAAAUCCCACACAAUUGUGUAUUCAACUUUUAGCCGAGUCAUGCCACAAAGACCAUCAAACUGUCAAUUUAUGUCGGAAUUGUAUGAUAGAAAAGUUGUAAGACCCUGCAUGAAAUUGAAGUAUGGGUUCAGAAAUUAAAAAUUUUACAAUAUAUAUUAAUGUGUAAUUUGAUAUUUUAUAUAUUUAAAAUUAUACCUAUAAAAAAUUUAAAUAGAUUUUUAUACUUGUAUUUGUAUUUUUAGUAUUCUUUAAAACUAAGCUCUCAUUUAAACUUUUGUUGUUUACAUAAGAUCAAUCUAUUAUUACUUUUUUGUCAUUUCAUUAUGGACAUAUUUUUUUAAUUAAUUUAUUAAAUUAUAGGUAUUUAUUUUUAAAUAAAAAUAUACAUAUGUAUAUAUAUAUAUAUAUAUAUAUAUAUUAAUUUUUAUAAUAAUAAGUAAUUAUUUUUAAUGAUUUAAUUUCUAUUUUCGGCUUUAUUAAUAAUAUGAUUUAAGUAUUAAAUUAUUUAUCUAAAUAUUUUUUUGUUAUAACUAUUUAUUUAUUAGAAUUUUUGUGUAUUUUGGUUCAAUAAUAAGUAGUAAAAAUUAUUGAUGGCUUCUAAACAUAUCCUAUUAAGUUCCAUUAAGUGAUUAUUAAAUCCAUUCUAUUUAGCUUCUAGGUUGAGUAAUUUGUAGCUUAUUGACAAGUUCAAUAGAGUUUUAUUUGGAAUUUAAAAGGAUAUAUUUUGAUAAAAUCUAUAAUUAUUUAAUUUUUAUGUUAAUCAAUAUAUUACAUCAAAUAACAUUAAAAUAAAAAAAAUAAAAAAAUAAACUACAAUUGUAAGAACCUUCUCAAAUCUUCCAAUCAUUUAUACAAAUAUUUAUAAACUUUUAGAAGCUUAAUGAUUUUUUGAAUUUUUUUUGUAAGAGUCUAAAGUAUUUUUAGUUUAUUUAUAGCUUCUACAAUCUUCAAUAAUUAUCUAAAACCUUCCAAAGUUUUCUAUAAAAUUUCAUAAUAAAUAUUUUAGACUUAUAAGGUUCUUGGAGCUUCUAUUAAACUUAGUAAUAUUAAUAUAAAUAGGAGAGCAAGACAAAGGCAAGUUUAGUCUUAUUAAUACCAAUUUUGGAGUUGCCAAAGUAUUAUUUUGCUUCUAGUACUAUGUUUGAUCUAUUUUAGAAUAUAAUUUUGUUUUUCUUAUGAUUUUUGAUCUUAUUGUUCUUUUUUAAGUUGUGAAUUUUGUUUUAUAUAGGAGAAUUUCCUUGCUUUUUGAAAGAAAAUAUCAUAUCUCAAAGGUUGAAAAAUAUUUACUUUUGACAAUGUAUCUUAUAUUUGAAUAGUCUAUUAAACUUGCAUGUUUACAUAUUUAUAAAAAAAUUGAUAAUGCUAAAAGUAUAUAAAAAGUCAUUUGGCCUUUAACAAACAAUAGUAAUAUAAAAGAUCUACAAUAGUUUGGUAUAUGUCAUAAACUUAUUAGUUUGAAAAAUUAAUAAAUUAGAUAUUGUGAGACAUUAUCUUUUCUAUAUAUAUAUAUAUAUAUACAUAUAUUUUAGAAAUUUUAGAAAAUAAUAUGUUUUCUUUUGUUAAUCAUGUUUGGCACCUAAUAAAGAUAUUGUCUUGAAUAAAAGAUGAUAGUUUAUUUUUAUUAUUUAAUAAAUAUAAUUAAACUUAAAUUCAUUAUUUUAAGUUAUAUUUUGAAAUUUUGAUUGAUAAAUUUUAGUCUUAUUUUGCCUAGAUAAUUUAUCAAUCAAAAUUUCAUAGCAUAUAUAUAUAUAUAAAAAUAUGUAUUUAUUUAUUUAUUUAUUUAUUUAUUUAUUUAUUUAUUUAUAUUUAUAUUAAAAUAAUGAAUGAACAUCUAGUUAGUGAUGCAGAUGAUAAUUUUGAGUUUGAAGAAAGAUUACUUUAUUUUAAAAACAUGUUAUAAAUGAUUUUGAGAUCCACACAACCUUGUGUAGUUUAAGCAUGCUACAACCUAUUUAUUUUAAUAAAACAACCAAAUUCAUAUUAAAGAUUUAUUAGUAGCUACAAAUACAGAAGUUUGUAAAAAAAUAUAUUUGAUCUUGUAACACAUAUUCAAGAACCAGGGUUGUAAGACAUCAAGCAAAUGCUUUAUUCCAAUUACUUCUUACUUUGAGAAAAUUAUAGUCAUAAUUAUUACUGGAUUUUUUAGAUUUUUUAAUUUCUAAUUGCAACAACUUAAAUUUGAUAGCUUUAGAUUAAUCUUGUUAAGAUGAUUCAUUUUAUUAUUGUAAUUAGAUUUGUCUUAAGGAAGAAACAAAAUACUUCUAAUAAUUUCUACAAUAUUUACAUACGUAUUUUAAAAUAGUGUGACAAUUUAUAAAAAAAUUAAAUAGUAUUGAAUUUUAUAAAAAACAUCUUAAAUUUUAGAUGUUAAGAACCUAUCUAAAAAAAGUCAUCUACAAACAAAUGUCAAACAUAACAUAUAAACCAAUUUUAAAUAAACUAUUUAAAUAUUUGUCUUAUAGUAUAAAUAAUUAAAAAAUAAUCGAAUGAAUUUAUUUCCAUUCAUAGAAUCUGCUUACAACAGAGGCACAUAUUCAUCAACAUAACAAACUCCAUUCUUUUUAAAAUCAGAGCUACUAAAUUUCAGUAAAUACUUCUCAAAAUCAAAGAUGUUGGAAGCCUGAUUUCAAAAAAAUUAACAAUCAUUUCCGUGUCAUUCAAAAAUAAUUAAAAAAUCAUCUUCAUGAAGCUCAGAGUUAAUACAAAAUUAAUGUAAAUUAUUACUAAAAGCCUACCCUAUGUUUUGAAUAAAAGAUUUUUUUAAUUUUUAUUGAUAAAAUUUAAAAAAUAAAUAAUUAUUCAAAAACUAAGACUAUCAAUGUCAAAGAUAUGAAUCAACAAAAAAUAAGUAUAAUCAUAGAUGUCCAAUUAAAUGUUAAUUAUUUUUUAAUGUAAAAUAUAGAAGACAUAGAUUUCUACAACGAUAAAGAUCUAAAAUAAUUAUUGCAAAAUGCAAAGAUUAAGGCUUUUGGAUCAAGGGUGCCCAAGAAUUAACAUCAGGAGUUUAGUUAAUCAACAUGUGUUACCUAUCUAGAAUUGACCUUUUUGGGCAGCAUUUGGAAUUGGCCUCCUUUGAUAGCGAGUUGGAUAUAAUAUUUGUCAGUGCUAGCCAAGCACUCAUCAUGUCAUUUUGCAAAAACAGAGAGUCCAAGCAUAAAACAAUUUUUCCUUUACUCAACCAGAAAGAAACGGCAAACCCAACAGUGAUGAAAUACAGUCAUAUAAUGAGGAUAUUCUAAGAAUCCACGGAUCUAUAAGAAAGCAAUUUAGAUUGCUGUGACUCAAGUAAGCUGCGAUUCAUCAAAGCGUUCAAAAACAUACUGGAACAAACUAUCAAUUUCGCCUUUCUUAAAUCAAAGAAUUCAAAGAGACAAAAAAAAAAAAAAGUUAAAAUAAAAAUUAAAAACCAAGCUUAACGUACCACUUCAAGCACUAUGAUUUGAAAAAAGCAGACCUUAGUCCAAAAAUGCUCGAUUGGUUCCUGCCAGUGCUCUAUCACUGGUACUCUUCACCAGGAGAAAUUUACACUUGUCAAUUUAAAGUCUAGAUAACCUGUUGAAUCUAAAUUCCAGUAACUUAACUAAGCUCUUAAGGUCUUCGAAAUGACAGAUUUUUGCUCAUCUGUCAAUGAUGAUGGGAAAACCACCUCGAACGUGACGAAAAGGUCACCCUUCUUGUCACUAUCGAAUAGUGGCAUGCCUUCUCUAGGGAAUUUCCUAGUUUCUUUGGGUUUUGUGACUAGGGCACUUCCGACAGCUACCUUGUGGCCAUCAAGAUGGGCAAUAUCUUUUUUAAAACCCACGAGUGCAUCUAAAAGCGUUAUGGUGACAGUUAUAUGAAGAUCGUUUCCCUCUCUUCGGAAUCGGCUAUCAGGUUUAGUGCGAAUAAUAAACUUCAGGUCUCCAGGCUCUCCAUCAAUGACGGGUUCUCCAUCUUCAUAAAAGACGAUUUCUUGUCCAUCUCGCAUUCCUUUCUCAAUGUCUACUGUUAAAGAUUGGGUCACGCGCUCAAACUUCACGUUAGGACAUUCUUGACAGACCUGCUCUGUGUAUUGUUGAUACAUCCCAGGUCCAAUCUGUCGAUGAACUACCUUAUUCUUGCAGUUACAUUUGCGCUUCCCAGCAGCGGGCUUCACCACGUUCUUAUCUCUCCAUAUCUGCAAGUAUUUGCAGAACAUACAAGUCCUGUCACUAGGGCGCAUGGUGUGCAAGAAAUCAUCUGAACUAGGAGAAUUAAUACAUAAUGCUUUGGAAAUGCUAUACUAUACGCUUUGCAUUCUUGCAUUAACCGAUUAGGUUUAUGUAAAAGAAUCGCAUUAACCUAAACAUUAAGCUUAAGCACCCAACUGAACCAGUCAUUGCACAAUUCCUAAAAACCAACACAAGAAAUACUUCAUUGAGUUACUGACUAGGUAACACAUGCGGUCUAAGCUACCGUGAAAAAAUAAGUUAAGUGUCUCGGUGACAGAAUUUAAACGUUGAUGAUUUCAAAUUGUCAGUUCUCCAUGCUAGUCGUCUCCCUCAACAUUUUAGUUGGAGAAUGGUAGUUAGCAGCCACUCACAGCUUAAAUGUGCUUCCGAUUCGCCUUGACCGUGGAUUACAUGCAAUCCUAUAGACCUUCUACGAAGAACGGCUACUCGUAGGCACCAGCGAACAAGAAAUAAAUUCAAUCCCUAGCAGCAAAAUGAGCAGACUUGCAUGUAAAAUCUCCAAGCCCAGGAUACAGGAAGUGAGUUGGGCCUUUUCUGGGUGAUAAACCUACAUAAUAAGAAAGUGUGUCUCACCGAAGGAGGCAAAGAGCUGAUUCGUAAAACCUCGUAAACUGUGAGGCUUUUGCAGUCUAAAGUCAGCAAAAAGCAGGUUACAAUGCAUCAGUUAGGAUGAUAAUCAGGAAAUAGGCGACGUAUUUGCCAACCUGAUAUGAAUUCCCGACAUAGAGAUCUUUCAAUGUGGCAUAUAUUUCGACUGUAACAUCGUCACCCUUCAGAGUCUUUUCCUCUUCGUCCUCCUCACCACCAAAUCGAAAUCCACCUCCAAAAAACUGUGAAAAAAUGUCUUGACCAAACCCUCCACCACCGCGGCCACCGCCUUGUUGUUGCUGCUUCAGCCCCUCCUCACCAUACUGAUCGUACACCCCUCGUUUCUCCCUAUCGGAAAGAACCUCAUACGCAUUAUUAAUCUCUGCAAACUUCUUUGUUGCCUCUUCAUUUCCAGGGUUCUUGUCGGGGUGAAACUUCAAAGCCAAUUUGCGAUAUGCACGUUUGAUUUGAUCGUCAGUUGCCUGUUUCGAAACCUGAAGAAUAUCAUAGUAACUCUUGCCAGCAGAAACUACCUCUACAGUCGAUGCCGAGAAAAGAAGCAAGAACACGAAAAUAUUCCAGAUCCGCAUCGGGAAGUUCAGAUCCCUCUCUACACAAUCCUCAACCAAACCGACCUAUACAAUAAAACGAAGCUACUCUCACCAGCUCUCAAAUUCUAGAGCUAUGCACGAAUUAUCAAAGACACACCCCGAACAGACCAGCACUAGAGUAAAUCACUCUCAAAGAACUACAAACCAGCUACAUUCCAAAUUAUGUCCACUUUUUUUCCAAAAAAGUCAGCAGGUUUCUACCCUGAUACAUUCUGUGCCAUGAAACACACACCAGACUCCCACUAACACUAAAACUGACCCGAAUGACGCUACCGAAGAGCUACAAUUGCCUCACAAGCACACACACGCAGCGAGCUGCUCCUCGCACAUGAAGCAAAACUGAUGAAACUGAAUUAGGGUGCCAGUGUCUAGUGUGGGGCUGAAUGGAAAUGCAGGGAGCGAAGUUCCCAGAGCUCCCCUGAGGCGUUCCCACACCUUCUUCGAAUGGGAACCAAUGGCUUUGCGUCCACGUAGUUGGAGCCGGAUUCACCAAUCACGCCUUGCCAUGUCACGGAGAAGCUUGGCCGCGGUCUAGGUGGUGUCGCACAGUCAUCAAUUCAUUCGUUGAGUUGAAUUUAUCAUUCGUUUCAUUCCUGUCCGUUUGCUUUUUAGUGUGGUGUGAACAGAAUUUGCUGUGUGGUUUUGAGCUUUGUAUCUUAACUUGUGUGUAUAUUUAGGCUGGUCUUAAUGAUUCAUUUCUUUAAUUAGUAGGAUAGAUUUAUCCAUGAUUUUUUUAUUUUUUGUAGAUAGGUUUAUAGUCAAUAUUUUCACUUCAUAAAGAUAUUUCCUCUUUUCAAUAUGUCUUACUUAAAAAAAUCAGUGCAUCAAUUUGGUUUUUCGAUUUGUUAUUAUUUCUUAAAAUAUUAUUAAAAUUUUCAAUUCCUCUUCUAUUUAUUAUUUACUAUUUUAUUUCUAUCAUUUUUUUUUUCAUGUUACAAAAAAUUGACUUUCUAUAUGUAUUACAAAACCAUUGGAUUCUUCCAUCAACAAUAAUUAUCUAAGCAUAAUAUAAUAAAUGAGUUUUAUAUUACAAUUUUUAAAACCGAUCAGUCUACUCUUACUCCUAUUCAAGCAAAUUAAUUUUAAAGGAUGAUAGAUUUGAAUUGAAAGUGGUGUGUAGAUUAUUUUUGUUUUUUAAAAAUCGUAGACACUAUACAAUGUUGGUUUUUAUACAUAUGAAUGAAGGCAUUGCAUUAUAUACACACGUAUGUAUACAUAUUAACACAGAUAUAAAAGAUUUUGAAGUUAUCAAAUACAUUAUUUUUAAUAUUACAAAGGAUAAUGACGUCUAAUUUUUUUAAAAUAAGAAGUAUUGAAGGUCAACAAAUAAAUUAGUUAUUCUAAUUUUUGAGCCUAGAUUAUAAAUUCUUUGAACUCUUGAUCCUUAUGCAUGUCCAUGUAUAUAUAUAUAUAUAUAUAUAUAUGUGUGUGUGUGUGUGUGUGUGAUAUGUUAAGAAUUGAACAUAAAACAUAUUAUAAAUUAGAUUUGCCACUAUUCUACUAUUUGUUUUUUGAACUUUGGUACAAUAGUGACAAUUCUACAAAUGAUUGAACUGAAAAUGGAUUGUGGAAUACAUGUAUUUGUGUUAAGGCAAUAUAACAUGAACAGAUGGUUAUUUCAAUAAUAAUCCAUAGUGGGAAAUGACUAAUUGGAUGUUACAUAAAACUUAUAAACAUUUGAAACCAAAAGCUUAAAAAAUAAAUAAAUAACUAAAUAAAUUACAUCUUCUAUUCGUAUUAUUUAUAAAAAUUAUUGGAUAGAAGAUGGUAACAAUUUUAUAAAAUGACACAUGCAUCACACAGAAGCAUAAAAUUGUAAAAAGUAAUAGAUAAGAAGUAAACCUAAACAAAACAAUGUGAUUAUCAACAUUUUCUGUUUGCAUACCUGGAUGUGAAGUUUCUGAUUCAUUUCAAACCUGCUACAGAAUCCAUACUGUUCACCAGCAGUUUGUCGUGUUCAUUCCUUGUUUGCAAAGUACAGUGUGUCGUGCACGUCAACAAAUCUGCUUGCAUUAUCGGUUCACCCUUUGGUAGAAAACAAAAGUUGAUACAUAGUUGCAUAAUUUCUUGUAUGUAAAACGGAUAAGAGUUACAAUUGAAGGCUCUGAAUAUUCUCCUGCGAGCAACGAACUGGGUUCGCUUACAGAGCAAGGAAUUGCACAGGGCUGCUCAUCCAGUACCAUUUUAUUUACAUUCAGCUCCUGUUCGCUGUCAACAGCAACUUUGUUCUGAUCACUUCUGUCACCUUUUUAUGAGGAUGCAAUGCAGUAUUAGCACUUAACUAGUCAAUGGCCCACCCUUUUGAAAAUUAUGUACGAUACGAUGGUGUAAGCAUCAGGACAUUCGCUCAGAGAUGUGUGUCAGUUUUUAAAUUAGUCAUUUCAGAAAGUAGUUAUUAGAUGAUGCUAUCAAUAUGUUCCUUGUUUCUCUUGUUGGCUUGGUACUUGGGUUAGCUGCGUUGUGGCUCCAAACGAGAGUGCAACUUUGUAUAAACUUAAGACUUAUUUGAGAUUGUUGCCUACUGUUCACUCACCUGUAAGCCAGGGAGUUAAGAGCAGUACAGAAUGAGACGAGGGUUUUGUUUUCACUACUUGAGAUUGGACAAACCCAAAUGCUGUAUCUGGAAAAUAUUAAAUCCAUUUCUACACUACUGAUUGGUAAUAAGGUAAAAACAUAUCACGAAUAGAAAUUAGCGCUCCUCACUGUUUUACACGAGAUUACUGCCCAGGAGGCAGCUGAGAACUGCUCAGGUUUAUCUACAUCACACUUCAGUGUAAUGGCUUGAAUUUCUAUAUGAGUAAUGUUUCAAAUCCACCUAGGGGACACUUUGGAAAUAGAAAAGCUGGCACUCGCCCUAGCAUAAUGCCAUUCGGUCAGCUCUACUAACGGCAUGCUUCAGAACAAUACAGCAAUAAUGAAGCGUUUGCUUCAGGAGCAACUGUGUACUAACUUCAAUUUGUACAAAAGAAUUGUAUGGCUGGCAAAGAAUAAGUUAGUACCUCGAACAUGAUGAACAUGAUGAAGCAGCAGAGGUAAGCUGAGACGCCUUCUCCACACCAGCACGCUGAUUCCGUGCUUGAAAUUUGGCCGUUUAAAGAUGAAAAAUCAGCUGGAGCCUCCUGUCGCUCCCUGCAACAUUAAAAUCCGUGUUAGUUCUUCAAUGUAAACCCAUACCGUAUAUUAAACGAGAAUCAGGCACUUACUCGUUUUGCAACAUUGCCCAAACUGCAUGAGGGUCCCGAUAACGUUUUUUUAAACUCAUCAUCUCAUUCAAUAAGGUAGUCCGCUUGAAUCGACUCACUACCUCACUUCUUUAUUACUGAUUUUGAUAUUAAAAUUUAGUAGUUAGGAAUUAUUGAACACUAGGAUACUCCAAAUGUCCAAGAAGUAAACUGCGGUUCAUAUUAAAUUUUUGGUUCACACAGGAUUCAAAACCAUCACUAUUGAUCCUUCAUGACAACCCAAGUGACCAGCUGUGUGUCAUGGGUUAGUAAACAUGUUAGCUAAGAGUAUUUUUCAUUCAGCAAGGUCAGUCUAUACUACAGAAACAUAAUUUUUCUCGCUUCCAACAGGACUCAUGAGUGUCGACUCAUCGUCCUUAGUUCGAACCAUAACCUAAAUUUGAGUCUCAAAGUGACAACUUGUUACUAGAAUAUUCUGUCAAAAUUCCAAAUGAUAGGUGAAGUCCAUUCCAAAACAAAAGAUGCGGUGGCUUUAAAGUACUAGCCACCUUGGACAGAAGCACGGUUCAUUAAUACGCACGAUGAAGUGUGAUCGCAAAAGCACGAAUCCUCUCAUUAACCUUUCACUUCAUGAAUAGAUGUGUAACAUAAGUUCAAAUGAUUAAAAAUAAAACAUAGCCUGAAAUUAAAUAAAACAACCAGUAUGUGCAGGUUAAGAGUUAGAUUUUCUCUCUAAAUUUCUGAUUACUUUCAAAAAGCCUGCUGCUGCUAAGACCUGCCCUGUAUCAGGAAUCAGGUAACCCUGAAAGUAAGAAUAAGAGAUUUGACAAGGAAAUUUUGUGAAGACCUGAAUAAAGUACUUACACCUCACUCUCACAACAAAAAUGCACAAAUUUCCAGUAAGGAGAUCACAAGUUCCUAUUCAUUGGGAAAAUGCCCUGAUCAAGCAAUGGGUAACUUCGAGCACAUAGAGAUAAAGGGCCUCUUAGGAUUAAGCACCUUGAGAAGAGGACGAGUGAUUGGUAACCGGCGAUUGAUGAUCAUACGCUUUUCAGUCUCUUGUCGGCCCCAAAUGACAAUGUAGAGGCCUGCCACUAUCAGCAAUCCACCAAUGACACUGCAAAACCACUCAAACAAGAUGUUUAGAACAUCAUCCGAAGACCCAUGUUUUUUCUGCAGCUUCAACCAUCCGAAUGAAAAAUAAACAAACACCAUUGAAUAUCCUGAGAACACAAUUUCAUGCAUUCAAAACGGAGAUCCUCCAAAAUCAAGCAACGAUAUUCGUUAAUGAGAUCGUCCAGUCAAUUUGUGAUGAUACUAAAGACUGUCUUGAGGUCGCCCGGGAUCUGAGGUACUGGGUAAUUCCUCUAGAAAAGACCGAUAAAAUCGCCACACUACGAGACAGAAUUCAAUUAAAGCACCUAAUGUUGUUCAUUGAAAAGAGCAGAAGUAUAAUGAUAAGAGAAGUUGUGUAAAACUAUGGCAAAGCAUGGCAAAAAUUUUGUGGUCUCAGUACUUGCCUCCCCGUGUAUAGCGAACUCCGCAAAAAAAUUCGAGAAAGAAUUGAUGAAGCCAGUGGUUGAAGAGGAAUAUAAAGAGCAACAAGAGAUGGUCCCACCAUCUUGUUCGAGUACGUGAGUAAUCCAUAAUUCACUGCCGAUGCAACAACCCCCUGACAAAAUACAGAAACUCUUUAUUUCCAGACGGGAAGAGUAGAAAUAGAACUACAAAUAUUUCGUAUUGAGAGAAAAUAAAUAAAUAAAAAGAAAAAAAGGAGAGGCGGUCUAAAAUAAUAGACCUAUAACGCAUGUCCUUACUGACCAAAUAAUCUGGUAAGAACCAUCCUUCAGGUAAACAUAUAAUUAACAUUGAAGAUUCACUCCCGUAUCACUCCCACCACCAACAGCACAUUUCACACCUUCAAGUAACACUUCCAUACAACUUGCUGCAACAAACCUAACCAUGAAUCAAAGUAGACACAACACAAGAGAAUGAGUUACAAAACACUUACAGCAUAAAUAACGGCUAAAGUUUCUCCACUGUUUAGCCUCCAGUCAGCCGAUUCAUUAGCGAAAAAGAAUCCAGUGAAUGUCAUCAGACUUGCCCCAAACGCAUAAGAAUAUGCUGUCACGGAGAGACUGGCAGGAUAUUUGAUCAGCAAUGGAGCCUGCCAUAAACAUACAGGAUGAAGAUCUCGUACGCUUUGUUCGUAAUUUGAAUUCAGUAAAACGAAAAUCGACUACCAGGUCCUAUUACCCCUAGAGACAAGGUCGAAUGUUCAUAUGAAUACAAAACAUAUUACAUACUCUAGCAUAUAGCCUGAUAAUAUCACAUAUUGUCAACAACUAGAAAGACUAAAGAAAACAUACAAGACAAUCAAGAGUAAAGCGCGACUGAAAGACAUGAUCAUCAAAAUCUGUACAGUAAAAACCUAUGAUCUCCGGUAUAAAAUAGCUCAAAUACUCUAAAGUCGGAAUCCAAACUACCAAACAUCGUCAAUUCAUGAUUGUAACCUACACAAGACCUGGCAUGAUGGAAAGAAAAACUAAAAUAUCAACAUUACUUGUCCGAAGGUCACAUGCCUGUAAGAUAUGACCAACAUGGAUAAUUACCUGAUAUACUAUAUAUAUUGCCAUGCUUAAAGUAUUGCCGAUUAAGCAAAGAACACCAAAACGCCAAAGGUCAAUCCCGGAAUCAAUAAGAAUUCCUGUAAUCCAUCGAACAGGCAUGGAAGCAGAGUUGCCUGCAAUGUCCAUCCCUUGCAGAUUCAUAUCAGAUAGCCCAUCACCGAGAAGAGCAGGACCCUUGUACAGGGCCAUGAACAAUGCACCAGCAACACACACUAUCACUCCAGCAACUUUCGCUUUGCCAUCUGGUCGUUCCCAGUGCAGAGUUUCUGUUCUGUUGAACCAAACAGGUCAUUCCACAUUUAAUAAAAAGAAGGUAACCUACACACAAGAAUUAAUGAGAUAAAAUCGUCCGAGCUGAGAUUUCAAGCAUAUCCAACACAAGAAAGACAAAUAAAGCCCUCUACCAACAUCAUCACAAGAGAUAGACAUUGCAAGAGCCGCAACAUAAUAAAUGUUCCUCAUAUGCAGCAUUUCUCUUUCUAUUAAAGACAUUUACUCCAUAUAAUGAACGUUUCAUUUCUCAUGCGUUAUGAAGUCCUGAAAGUAACACCAAGAACUCCUCAGGGAUUGGAACUAACCGGAGCAAUACCGCUAGUAUGAAAGUAAAUACAGGAAUAAGAGGCUGCGUAGCAGCAGCGAAAAAUGGUGAAGUGAGAUUGAGCCCCAGGGUAAAAAGUAGCUGAUUCGCAAAGAUCCUGCAAAUUGAAAUCCGUAACGCAGCACACAAGCCUCAGAGAUCAGCCCAUAUAUUCAGUAAAAUGUUAUAGAUUUCUUGAACAAAAUAUACUGCAUAUUUUAUUGGCUUGGAUGCUGAAGGAAAAGAGGACUCACCCUGUUAAUCCGAGGAAAAAGAAGGAAAAUAAAAAGUAGCCAGAUAUUGGCGGUCGUACCCUCCUUCAUUUGCAAAGACGAAAACAAAUGUUAGUCAUACCGUGAAAUAAACAAGGACAUCCAGUUUCUAGACUGAUGAAAAUCAGCAUUUUCCAUCAUUGAUAGGCUAGAAGCGCAGAUAAAUAAUGAGAUGAUAUCUUCAGUAGUUAAGUCUACAAGUGCUUCGCACUGUGAUUUCUAUAGCAAGCAUACCAAGAAACAUAUCCAGUGAUAAUAUAAGAGGCAUACAACAGUGGCAAAUUGUAGAAACUACUCACUCAAAUCGUCAUCUACCGACAGUAAGCCAAGGCAAAACAUAUAGCUCGACUCAGCGGGAAAUCUAGUCGUAACUGUCGGUAAUCAGCAGCCCAAGAGAACUAUCAGACCACAAAUUUCCACAUAACACUCUCAUUGCAAGUUCUUCGACAAUCAUUUCCGGACAAUGAUAAAACUCCAACAUAAACGUUGCUAGAACAGCAGGGGCAAAGAGUUUGUGGAAAGAAAAAUCACCUUUCAGAGCAAUAAGCUAACGGCCCUAAGAUUGACAGCGCAAUCAAGUCUCGGAGCACGCAGAAGACCAAUUGAUUAAGCCCCACACUUAAAGCUAAUUUCGUGAUUACAUGAUAACCACCAUAAUUAAGCUGGAUUAAGACUAAUGCCACGUAAGGCUUCCAUGCAUCUCCAGCCAUUGCUCUAUUCAAAACCCUCCGAAAUUAUGCUCCAAUAAACUGCAAAAAUAUUUAUAAAAGAAGAGUCAAGACAGUGUUCUUAAAAGUUGAUUAUAGAAACACACAAUUUUAAGCAUGAAUUGUGUCCUAUUACACAUAGCACAAUACACAUCAUCAAAUUGAGUUCGAGUGAAGAACAUUGUGAAGACAAACAGACUUUCCAACAGGUUAGCCCAUUUAAAUGCCACGCUAUAUACACUCGACUGUCAAUCUCCAUACACGAUUCAGCAUUCAAUCCAUAAUGAAAGUAUGAAUUCAGUGCUGGCCACCAAGCCACAAUAACCAUGAAUCUCACAAGUUGACGUGCAGGUGGCGAGUCUCUCGUUUGAACAUGUUCGGUAGAUAGGUUCCCUAAUGAUAGUAUUGACGGAAGAAACUCAUGAGAGAUGCCAAAGGAACGCUUGCCAUUAUUUAAAAAAAUAAAAAAUAAAAAAUAAAAAAUACUAAUGUUUAGACCAGCAAUAUUGUGGCACCUAUGAAUGAACUCGCUUUUGUUGCAUACUGUCAGAACUAGGCUUUCAAUUAUGGUUCGUACAAGAACCCGCGCUAUUCCUUUUUCAUGUAUGCUGGUAAUGGCGACCGUCCAAUUAGACGUGCUCCGUUGUUCACAUUCCCUUGGUUCUCCCAACCUAAUUGCCAAACUGCUAAUUUCGCCCUCAAUACUUUCCAUCAUUUCCGAUCUGAAGUUCAGAAAGUGAAGAAGAUUUUUGCACGAGUCAUCACCAAAUAUAAUUCAAGCAAGUGCCAUCAAACCAAAAUUACCGGUCGCGAGCAAUUUAAGCUCUCCGCAGACCUCACAAUAACCAAUCAUCAGACCAUUCUCCAUAACCUCUAGUGAUACUCUAAAGCUGAAAAAGCAAAUAACAAGAUCUCAGUCUCACUCUCAAUCUCAAUCAUACCAUCCUCCCUUACCACAAGAAAAACGAGAACGAAAGAAAUCAAAAGUCCUAACACGGACGUGAAAGCUGUAACUUGACAAUGACAACACCGAAUCGUGCACUUACGUCAACUUUAAUAACAGAAAAAGAAGCAAGAAACCGUCACAAGGAAGCAACGCAAAUCUACAAAGAAAGAUACACCCUCCGUACAUGUAAUUCAAUCACCACGUCCUCACCAACUCCAACGCCAAAUUCUUUCAAGUUCUACGCAACUCACCACUCAAACCUCCACAAUUCGGCCCUUGCACGAUGCAGAUACGAGCUCCAAGCUAAUCGCCAGCAGCUCCACUAAAACACGGGCACUCGCUUUUGGUGGAAACCAACCUCCUCUGCAGCGUGACCGUAGGAACCAAGAUUGUAUCAACUGCGAAUCGACCGCAGCGGAGCGAGAGAGAGAGUGAAAGUGAGAGAGAGAAAGAGGGUCGGCAUGGAAUAAGCAACGUGUUACCAAUUCGCAAAUACUGAUUGGUGCAGGUAUCUUCGGGCGGAUGCAAACCACGGACACACUCCACGUCAAAGAGCGCGAAAGCGGAACUGUGCUGUGGGAGAAACUGGCCCAGUCUGCGCCUUCGACCAGGUGUGACGCUGUUAAGCGCCGUCUGAACCGGGGUGGGGCAAUGCGAAAGUAUCAUCUGCGCCGUGUUCACGUCGACUCGCUUGUCCCUAUCAUUCCCCACAAUAUCCUCUCCAGUGUCGCUUCUAGCCAUUGGAGAUGCUUUCUUCGAAUGACAUGGCGCAGUUCCGACGAAUCCCGAGAAAUUACGUGCUAGAUUAGGGUCGGCGACCUCUGACUAAACCCCCCGUCCGCUUGCCCUCAGUCAAAAUUAGAUCUCCGGGGGACAAUUCCAAAGCAUGUUUUCUAUCCCGACGGAACUACGGAGCAUCUUACAUCAAACUCAUAAUCUCUCAAGAAACUAAACAAAAUCUACUCUCGCUAUGACAAAAGUAAAAUAAUAAUAAAAUAAAACCCCUCGCAAUAAUUGGAUUGCGCACAACUUUCCAAUAAAACCGCACCGAAAAGCACAGCAAUUAUUUUUUAACAUCAAGAGUUUCCCCAGCCAGUGAAACGAGUGCAACUCGGAACCGAAACCGCAGCCACAAACCGACUUGAGGAGCCUCUUUUCCGCAAUCAAAUCUUAUCGGCGGCAUUCAGAUCAGUGAGAGCAAAAACCAUCCCCGCGACGUGAUUGAACGGAGUCGUGAUUGAAGAAGAAGAAGAAGAAGAUAAGGUUGAGAUGCCGAAGAGGGACAAGAAGAUGCUUCUGGAUAGGGGUUGCUAUUGUCCACGUCGGAUGUCCACGUAGGCAUGCGAUUGUGAAACGUGGUCGAGUUCUUAUGAACAUGUGGGGAGGUGAAGAAUGUCAAGUUGCUGGUAUGUAUUCAAUUCAUCCAUUGCACGAGAACGUCACAUGUGAUGUUGCACGAGGAAAAUGCUUACAUGCAAUGUUGCUUCCAUCAUCUUGUGCAUUGGUUCACAUUGUUUUUUGGAGUAUGUUUUUAAAAUGAAAAGUAAUAAUAAUAAUAAUAAUAACAAUAACAAUAAUAACUUAUUUUCAACAUUAAAAUAAGUCAUUAGUACUCCAGACUGCACUGUUUUAUUACCAUUGUAUGCAAGUUUAUUAUGUAAUUUUCAUUUUCAGUAAUUUCUUUCUCAAUUUCAGGAAUUGAAUGAUUUGUUCGAAAGCUUGCAUGUUAUAUAAUGUAUUUUAUAUAUAGAAAAUGAAAUAAAGUGUAAGCACAAUCCGUGUGCAACAUCACACAACAUGUGGCAAAGUACACAUGUUCAUUACAAAUAGUUUUUUAUUGUAAUUAUUAAUUGUUUCGUGUUUUAAAAUGAAUAAAGUUGAUCAAGAUUUGACACGUUCGAAUAUUACUAUAUUUUAGAAAUAAAAAACAAUAUUUUUUUUUCCUACCAUGAGGUUCAGUCUGUGACAAAUUGUCUUUGCAAAUUCAAUUACUGUUUAGAGAAGAUCUCUUCUUUGCAAUAGAAACAAUUAAUACUUAAUCUGCUCAACUUUUACAUUGAUGUAGAAUUAUUUAAGAUUUAAUAUUUUCUCUAAUUAAUUAAUAUGAUGUUUUUAAUUUUGAAUCCUCUGUGAUGUCAAAAGAUACUUUUAUAAACCAUGUUACAUUAUGUUUUUUGCUCUACAUCAUAAUCUAUAAAUUGAAUUAUUCCUACAUAAUUUGGUUGAAAUCAAAUUAAAAAAAAUUAAAUGAUUUAGUAAAAUAUUAUUUGUAAUAAAUUGUAUUUAUUCCAUUUUUUUUCUUUUUCUUUUUUUCCAAUCCAAUGCUAUUUUUAUUGAUAAUUUUACAAAAACUAGUAGACAUUUUUAGCAAAAGAUUUCAUAUUUAGUUAGCAUUUCAAUAUUAUUUCGGUGAUUAAUUAAAACAAAGCCAUAGCUAAACACAAUAUAAGGAUGUCAUAAAAAAAUUAAUUAAUUCCAAUCCAAUCUUUUAUACAUACAUACAUACAUACAUACAUACAUACAUGUAGGAUGUGGCUUUCAUUUUAUUUUUCAUUUGAUUAGUUUUAAAAUUAUACUUUAUAAGAUAUUUGAUUUUUAUUAAAAUUAAUAUUAAAAAAUAAAAAUGAUAAAUCUGGAUUGUCUUUGAAGUAUUGCCAGUACUCCAAAGCUACAAUUAAAUAUAAUAAUUUUUACAUAUUUUUUCUAACAAUAUAAUAAAAGAUACUUUUUGAAAUAAAUAAUUUUUAUUAUAAUUAUUAUCUUUAUAAAUUUAAAAUAAUAAUAAAAUAAAUAUUAUAUAUAUAUAUUUACAUUUAUAUAUGAUUUUAUACACUAUAGUUAUUUAAUCUUAAUUUUUAUUUGACAAUUCAAAACAUAUUAAAAACACAAUAAUAUAUAAUAUUUUACAUAUAUGACAGUGAAUUUUUUCCUCUAUCCAAAUUAUAAAAUGACGUCAAUGAAGAGUUGCUUGUAAUUGGUGGUGUGAAGUAGAAGUAGUAAGUACAAGAAUAAAAGAAGAACAAUACAAAAUAAGUGAACAAAUGUAAUCAAGCAAUUGUAUACUAUAAAACUAGUCACAAUUUGUUUAUUGGAUUUUCAUCCAAUAAAAAGUAAAUAAAUAUAUAUAUAUAUAUAUAUAUAUAUAUAUAUAUAUAAUUCUUUUAUAUUUUUAAUGACAUAUUAACAUGUAAAUUGAAGUUAUUAUAAGUAAGUUAUGAUAGAUUAAAGAUAGAGGGUAAAUAAUAGAAAAGUUAAGUGAAUAAUUUUUAUCUCAAGGAUAACUUGCUUAACUAGUGUAUAUGGAUUUUGAAGAGAGGUCACAAGGCCUUAGUUUUAUCUACCUACCUAUAUCUAAGGUACUACAACCCAUGUGGAACUUGUGCACUUCUCUUUCUACAUAGACUAGACUAGUUGUUGGUCCUCCUAUUUUCUACUAGUAAAACUUUUUUCUUUUUUGUAUUUUUGACUAUACUAUGGUAUUUAAAAACACCCAAUUAGCCUAAAAACCUUGCAUGGCCUUUGAGUCUUGCUUCAUUUCUUCAUAAUAGCUCCCAAGGUGGUAAAACUAAAUUUUACCAAGGACUUGAAAUCUUCUAUAAAAAUUCCUAAAAAAUUCUAAAUAAAUUCUAAAUAAAAUUUAAAAAAUAAUUGAAUAUUUUUAUAUAAAUAAUAUUUAUUUAAGACUAUAUUUUUCUAUAUUUUAAUUUUUUAUAGUAAUAAAAUUAAUUUAUAUCUACUAAAAAUCCUAUUUUCUAUACAAUUAACCAAAAGACAUGAAAUUCUCUUCAUGCUUCUUCUAACUACUAAUUAAUCAUUGAUAGGAUUUUUAUGAGUAAUAAAUAUAUAUAUAUAUAUAUAUAUAUAUAUAUGAAGCCAAUAAAGAUAUUUUUCUCAAUAACUAACCCUUUAUACUUAAUAAUAAAUAAAAAUACUAAACUAACUGAGAUAAUUGCUUCCAAGACUUACUAAGACUCUAUUUUUAUGAAUUUUAUUUCAAUAAGACUUUUAUAACUUAUAAAUGCAUCUAAAUUUUAAUAAAAAAUUAAAUAAUCAAAAAUACUCUUUAAACUAUAUUUUCAAUCAAUCCACCAAUUAAGAUAUAUUGAUGGAGCUAACAACAUAGAAUAUUGUUGUAAUAAUUCUUUUUUUUAAUAUGUAAAGAUAAAUAAUUUUAUUUAUUUUUUAUAUUUAAAAAUUACUUCAAAAUUGUAAAAUCUAAUUAUUUCUUAUUUUAAAAUUUUAUUUAAUAAAAAAUAUAAAAUAUAAAAUAAGUAGUUACUAAAACUACAUCCCUUUGUUGCUAUCUCAUAAUUGAUUCCAUCCAUUCCUUAUGUUUAUUCCCUAUUCCUAGCCCUUGUUCUCAAUUCUUUUAUACUUACAUUUGAGACAUAUAGGUAGACAAUGAGCAAGCAAGACUUACUUGCAUGAAGAGAGAAAAAGUGAAUAAAAUAAAAUAAGUAAGAAUAAAAAAGAGAGUGAGAUAAAGCUUAAUAAUGCCUAUAAAGUCUUUUCAAUUAAGAUCUUCUUUUUCUUCUUCCUCUUUAGUCAUAAUAUUGCAAAGUAGGAGAAAGUAGUAAUGAGAGAGAAGGGACAAGGUACUUAUAUAUCUUUAUUUUUAGAACUAUUAAAAUAGAUGAUGUUGUAGAUUAAGACUCAUUAUUGCCACCAUGUUAGCAUUGUUAAUAUCAUUAAUCAUUAUUUUCUUAUUGCUUUGAAUAUUCACUUACUUGAUCUUUACAAGGAACAACUAAUUAUUUAAUCAAUUUUAUUUUUUUAUUAAAAAAAAUAGAUUUACUAUUUUAAUUAUAAAUAAAAAAAAUCGAAAGAUUAUAUAAUCUUUGAAUAUAUUUUAUAAUUUAUUAAAUAUAUAUAUAAAAAUAUAUAUAAAUAUAUAUAUAUAUAUAUAUAUAUAUAUAUAUAUAUAUAAAAACAUACAUUAUACCAUUAUUUUAUUUUUAAGAUAUGACAUUGAAUUCGAAAUUAUUUAUUAAAUUCUUAUAAUUAAACAUAUUUUUGGAGUAUUUUAAGCUUUUAUGUACUUUUAUCUAAGAAAAUAGUAUUCAAAGUAUUAAAUUAAUAACUAAUAUAUAAAAUUAUAAUUUAAAACUAUCUUUAAAUUAUGUUAAGAUUUUUUUCUUCUAUAUUAUUUUAAAAUAAUUUCUAGCCAUAUUAGUAUUACAAACAUACAUAUUUAUCUAGAUGAGAAGUGCUAGAUAGAAGAUAAAUGAAAAUAGAUUUAAUAUUAUCUUACGAAAAAACUUCUCAGAAGCUUUAUAGAUUCAUAUUUGAUAUUAUACAUGUUUAUAGUUGAUUGGUAGGUUAAAAACUUUGCCAAGAAGUUAGCCAUGUAUUAUAAAUAUAGAUAGUUUGUAAUAGAAGCUAAAAAUAUGGCAUGCAUAUAAGAAACUUGCCUUAUAAAUUAAUACACAGGUCUCACAAAUUGAACACAUGUUGGAGGUUCUAUAGAAUGUUGCCACAUAGCUCCUAGUGAGAUAAUAUACAUAGUGUCACGAAUAUAGAAUACUGAUUGAAAACAAGAAACUUAAGAAGAAUUGGCAAGAACUAGAUUAAUCAGAUGAGUACAAGAACAACACUAGAGAGGUGAGUUAGAGCUUCAAGAGGUGUGUUGUCGAGACUGAGGAUCCUCUCAGUCUCAGCUCUUCUAUAUACUACCAUCUAGGAAGCUUCUCAUGUAGCUUCUACAAACUAGGAAGCUUCUCAAGUAGCUUCCACAAACUAGGAAGCUUCUCAAGCAGCUUCCACAAUCUAUGAAGCUUCUCAAGCAGCUUCCACAAAUUAAGGAGUUUUUCAAGCAUCUUCGACAAACUACAAAGCUUCUCUAGAACCUUCUAGAAUCUCCUACAACUUCCUAGUGUAUGUCUUUGAUAUGACCUCUCCCUCCUUUAGCUUCAAGGUCUUCGAGAAGCACUCCUAUUGCGAGUCAGUACCAUUGUAAGAAGUUAAAAAUUUGUUGCAUAGUGUCUGCAAUAUACUCCAAUUGUUGUUUACGAGACAAGUAGUUCAUUGAUCCUUGUAAUCAACGAUAGUAUCCUAUGCCUUUGAUUUCUGACCAGGCAUGAACUUUCGUGUUUUCAUUGUAAAAUGCCCUACAAACACUCCUUCGGAAAGAUCACUGAAGGCAGGUUCUACUUCAAACACAA